CAGUAAGAUGUGUUUGGUUCAAGUAUAAAAUGAUGGGAUUGGACAAUUUUAAGAUUAAAUAAUCCUAAUGCAAUGUUUGGUACCAAAAAUAAUUGUGGGAUAAAAAUAGUGGACCCCACCAUUUAAUCCAACACAAUGUCAAAAUUUUAUCACAAAGGGGGGUGUGGGAUAAGCUAAAACUUAAACGUAGGAUAACAAAAAAAAAGCCCAAAAUUUUAUACAACACAGUGAUUUUUUUUUUUUUUUGAGUAUGUCAUCAUCCAAUGAUAGUAUAUAUGCCAGAACACUCUUUUGACGUUAAUGAUAUGUAAUAUUUUCAUAUAUACAGCUAGUGACAUUGUUAUGUAAUUUCUUUUUCAUUUAUAGAUUUAUAUUAUUAUUAUAUUUGUUGAUGAUAUUCUUGUUAUGUUUAUAAUUAUAUUAUUUAGUAAUUUAUAAGUUUAAAAACUAUAACAUGUUAAAUAUAAGAAAAACUUUAAGCGAAGAUUUUGUAUUUUUUAACAAAUUUACCAAUAAUUUUUUAUUUAAGUUAGAUUAUAUUCCAUGUCAUUUUAAAAUAAAUCUAAGAUAAUUUUGAUAAAUUAAUAAAUAAGACAUAUUAUUAGUUACUAACCAAUUUCAUGGCAUACCAAACAUGAGAUAUGAUUAUUUACAGUCUAAUCCAACAUUGCACCAAACGUAAUAGAGUAUUAUAUAUAAUCCAAUGUUAUCAAAUCCAAUCAUAUCUUAUCCAAUCCGAUCCGAUCCAGUCUAAUCCAAUUUGACAUACCAAACAAGCCCUAAUUAUGUUAAAAACUACAUCAUUACCAAACUGACCCUUAAUACAAUCUCAUACAUACAUACAUAUAUAUAUAUAUAUUAAAAAUUAAAAAUUAUCUUUAUUUAGUUAGGAAAUAAAACCAUUAUAUUUAAAUAGAUUAAUAUUAUUACUAAUUAUAUUCAGAUAACAAAAUUAAUAAAAUAAAAAUAUUUGUUUGAUUUAUCAAUUAUUAUACACACAUAUUUAUAAAUGCAUGCGUAAAUAAAAUUUUAUAGAUUUAGGCCAAGGCGGAUGUACGGUACAGCAGUAUCUUUAUUUAGUUAGGAAAUAAAACCAUUAUAUUUAAAUAGAUUAAUAUUAUUACUAAUUAUAUUCAGAUAACAAAAUUAAUAAAAUAAAAAUAUUUGUUUGAUUUAUCAAUUAUUAUACACACAUAUUUAUAAAUGCAUGCGUAAAUAAAAUUUUAUAGAUUUAUGUCUAUUUAAAUCAUUUGCAUUCUUAUAACAUUUUAAAAAAAGAAAAGAAAAGUGAUUUACCAAAUACAUGUAAUUGUUCUUCAAACUUACAACACUUUUAAAAUAGAAUUUAAUAAAUGUUUAAUUAAUUUUUUCACAGCUGAUUAUUUUUAUGGUAUAACUAACAAUAAUCUAUAAACUUAUGGUAAAUAUUUGUGUGAAUGUUGGUCCAUGUAAAGAAGUAAAAACAACGCAUAUAUCAAGCAAUAAGAUAUCAAAACUCUUAGUAAAAUACAUAUACUAAUGAAAGAAUGACAGCAAUGCAAUAAAUAAGAUUAUAAUAUAAAUUAUUAAAAUUGUAUAUUAAAAAUUGAUGUAUGAAAUUCUUUUUAUUUUAGUGAUAGAUAAUGUGAUAUAUUUGAAUAAUUUGAUUAAAUGAAAAGAAAAAUAACAAGUAUGGUUGUGGAGGAAAUAAACCAUUGAACUGUGGAAUGUUAUUAAUUAUUGCUAUUUCAUUAUGUAACGUCCUGAUAAUAAGUACAGUGUUAUAGUAUAUUGAUGGGUGGUGAUAUUGUCACCCCUUAAAUUGUGUAAAGUCAACCUCAUUUACAAAUUUUUUGAUAUAAAUUAAAAAGUACAUUAGUUUUAAUAAAUUAUAUAUUUAUUGAAUAAACUAGAACCGUUAGGGAGCUGUAAUGUUAGCACUGUUUUAACUUAUUAUAAAAAAAAAAGUUAUGAUUUGAUCAUAACUCUAAUUUAGAAAAGAAAAAAGAGUUGAAUUGCUAACAUACUUAAAAAUAAAAUAAAAACAUUAUUAUUAGAUGAAAAAUUGUAAAACUUAAGGGGGCAUUUGCAAGUCCGCCACUACUCAAUAGAGCAUUAUUCAGUACUCGUUAAUAUAUCUCGAACUUUUAGGUUUUUUUAAUAUAUUUUUAAUACAUUUUCUAGAACAUUUAGAUAAAAAGAGUCAGUACUCCAAUUGAGUUGUGAAUAAACAUUUAGAUAAAAAGAGUCAAUACUCCAAUUGAGUUGUGAAUAAACUCAUGUUAAAAAAAAAAAAACUCAUUUUCACACUUGAAACGAUUAGUAAAUGGGUGAUACGAAUUUAACUUGGUCAAUAAUAUAUACCAUCUUAAGUUAACUUCAACUCAUUGAUCUUCUAUAGGGUUGAUCAGCCUGCCACAAGGCCCACAAAUUAUCACCUCUAAUGCUUUUGCAACAGUCGUUAUAAAUGCUGACAAAAUGAAACUUCUAUAUAUUUUGGUUUUUUUUUAUUUCUAUGAAAUAUAAGGCCCUUAUGGCAAAUUUCCAUCCAGCGUGAAAUUUGCUAGUUUGGCCUUGGUACUGUGGCACAUGCGUCAUGCAUGCGUGGCUGAGAUGCUUCUAAAACUAAUAAAUUAUGAAGAAUUCCAAAUUCGUACCAAAAAUAAGAGAAUAGGAGCUUGUCAUAGGUGUCCGCGGAUCGGAUUUUAUGGGUUAAACAUUAAUUCAUAUUUGAUUCGUGAUUUUGUAGAUUAUAAAUUUUUAAUUUAAUUCAAUUUAUGGAUUAGUGAAACUCAAUACAAAUUCAAUCCAUAUAUAUGCAAAUUAGAUGCGGAUUUAACCCAAUGCAUAUUCAAUCCAUCAUUUGGCGGAUUGAUUUGCAAAUUAAAAGUUUUUAAUUUUGUCCAAUCUAAAAAGUAAUUAAAUUAAAAAAAUCUAAUAUAUAAAUAAUUGAUUAAAUAAAAAAAUCUAAUGUAAAAAUAAUUUUACUACCAAUUAAAUUCAAAAUUGAACAAGAUUUAAAUAAAUUUAGAAUAAUACAUUCAAAAUUUUAAAAUAUAACACACCGAAAAAAAAAUUCAUUUAUUUAGAUCAAUACAUGAAAAUUAACUAAAAUUAUGAAUUUAAAUGUUGAAACUUGAAAGCUUGGAUGUAACAGGAAGAAUUUAAGAAACUUGAAGAGCUUGAAAAGAAAGUAAGAAAUUAAGUUUAAUUACCUCAAGUGGUGAAGUGAAACAGUGAUUGGCUUGUGCGUGCGGUGGGAUAGAGAUUUGGUGUUAUAUGUCAAAAUAUUUUGUUUGGCUUGGGGUUUUUGUUUUGCUUUAGAAAUUUUAAUGUUUAGGAAACUAUAUUUGCUUAUUUAAUUAUUUCUUAUUUUAUAUUGUUAUCGAAUAAAAUAUAAUAUUUUGUUAAUUUAGCUAUAAUUUUAUGCUGAAUAUAUUUAUUUAAAACGAUUUUAUUAAAUAAAUGUGCAUAUUUAACGAAGGUCUCUGAAAUUUCAACCUGCCUGCUAAUGAUAGCCAAUACGGCACGACCCACCAAAUGUCGGCCCACGCGGGCUUGUGGGCCAUGACGACUUUUUUUGUAAGGGCCCGGCACGGCCCACGGCACGAGUCCGUGCCCAAAAAAAGCCCACCUACCUUUUUUUUUUUUGUCCACAUGUUCAGCGUGCCUAAAAAAACCCACGUGCCUGACGUGCUUUUUUAAGCCCACCAGCCUAAUAGUAACAACAACAACAACAAUAAUAAUAAUUUCAUAGAAAUAAUUAAUGAAAAAUAAAAUAACAAUUCUAGAAUAACAAUUACAUCUAAUUUUAUUUGAACAACUAAUAUUAUAAUUGCACAUAAACUCUAUUGAAUGAAAAUGUAAUUUUUAAUUUAUUAUAAAAAUAUUUUGUUCAUAAUUUUAUUUUUUUGUGCGUAAAUAUGAAAAAUAUUUCAUUCACAAAUGAAACAUAUCUCCAUUAACUAUUAACUAAGUUAUGAUUUCAUAAAUGAAAUAUUAAUGUCGUAAAAUUUUUUAUUUAUCAUUUAUAAAAUCAUGAUAUUUAUUUAUCCAUUUAAUAAAUUAUAAACAUAAAAAAAUUAGAAUACUUAUUUAAACUAGGACUUAAAUUAAUUUUAAAAAGCCUAUACUAAAAAAAUAUAUUAAAAUUUUUAAUUUCAAGGUAUUUAUAAAAUCAUGAUAUUUUAUAUUUAUUUUUCAUUAAAAAAUUUUAUUUUGAUAUACUUUGGCCCACGUGCUAUUGGUGGCCCACGGGCCGCGUGCUUAGCCCACCAAUAAAGUGUGCUUAUUACAUGCCUUUUCGCGUGCCGUGUUUUGCCCCAUCUCUAAUCAUACCGUGCUUUUAAGGCCUGCGUGCCUAAAAUUCUAGGCCCGCCAGCCGUGCCGUGCCGUGCCGUGCCUCGUGCCGCCUGGCCCAUUGGCCAUCCCUACUGCCCGCCAACCACAUUUGUCCAAGAUCAAUUUGUAGGAAAAAAAUUUGAAAAUCAAUAAUUUAUUUAAUUAAUUGUUAAUGUAGGCAUUUGAAUCCCCACAAAAUCUGGGUGUCAGUUCUAGACUUCUGGUGAUAUAUUUUUCUAAUUAAGGAAUAAAAUAUUUUUGUCAUUUUUUUAAUAUUUUAAUUUACCAGGCAUAUCAACUAAUUAAUUUUUCUACUUAGACUAUUAAUUCAUUACGUGCGCAAUCUGUAGCCCGGCGCUCCAAUCCCAUGCAUGUUACACACAACUCAAUCAUUAUUUAUUUAUUUAUUUAUUUUGACCAACAACUCAAUGUUUUUUAUAGAGCUGUCAAAAUUUGACACGACCCGAUUACCCGACACGAACACGACAUAAAUAAAUGGGUAUGGGUCGUCAAAUUUAACACGAUUAUUAAAUGGGUCGGGUCCGGGUCAACACGAUUUUUUUCCGUGUCGGGUUUUGGGUUAAAAUUCUUGACCCAUUUACCCGAUCAAUGACCCGAUUAUAUUUUCUAUUUUAAAAUAAUUUACAUAUUCUUAUAAUUAAAACUCAAAUAUUAGAGAUGAUUUUCUUUUUUUUUAUUCUUUAAAAGGGUGAUAUAUUUUAUAAUAUCGAUAAAUUAUGUAUGUAUGUAUUUAUGUACAUACGUAUGUAUGAUAGUGUGGAAAUAUUUUAUGUAACUUUUGUUCAAUAUAUAGAUAUUAAACGGGUUAUUGGGUAACCCGAUUAUUUUUCCGUGUCGGGUUUGGGUCUCAAUAUUUUGACACGAUUAUUAAAUGGGUCGGGUUUGGGUCGACCUAAAUUUGACACGACACGAAACUGACACGACAUGAACACGACCCGAUGACCCGUUUUGCCAGCUCUAGUUUUUUAAUAUGAAAAGGUAUUGGUUAGCUUUGUCUUUAGUUUUUUCAACUUAUAAUAAGUUUGUAUUAAGGCUCCCUUUGGUACAGAUUUUCAAGUAAAACUUAUUUAGGGUUAUUUUUAGGGACCUCCCCUGAGGUUUGGUGUAUUAACAAUCUGAUAGAAAGUAUUCACGUAAUUACAAAGACCUCCCCUGACAUUUGUAUUAUGUUAAGUGGACUGUUAUUGACUAUUGAAAAUCCAAAAAUACCCUUCCUGCCAAAAUAUUUCUUUAUUCACUGAUGAACUGAUGGGUAAUUCGUGCCAAAAUCACAAAUUACUUAAGAAGAUGAAAAUAUCCAUUGGAUAAAAAAAAUGAAAUUGCUUAAUAAAAAAAUUGACAUUGCAUAAUAAUAAAAAAAAUUGAAAUAAUGUGCGGCGGCAUAGCUGCAUCUUGCAUGCAUAUUAUUAUUGUGAUUUUUUUAUUACAAACUCCAUCCUGCAUGCUUAUUAUUAUUGUGAUUUUUUUUAUUACAAACUACUUCAUAACUAAUACAUGCCACAAGAGCAGAGCUAUUAAAAGAAAUGAUUUUCAUAUUGUAAACUUGAUAGUACAGGUGUUGGCACCGACCAUAAAACCCUUAUGAUACCAAUCUUUGCUCCAUCCAUAUUUAAAUCCAGAUCAAGUAAAUAUUAAAUUGGAUUUCAGGUCCUGAAAAUCCCACUCUAUAAUUGAUAUCUUCGAGUUUUGUUGGUGCCUCAAACCUGGAUCUAGAGCAUCAUCUCUGUCAUACUCGGAACACCUAAACUAAUGGACUUGCUGCAGCUGCUUAUUCUUCUUCUGAAAUGAUGCACGCAGAUAGAUUACAGACUUUGAAAUAAGAAAUACAAUAAACAACAUGUAAUCGAACUUAAGAUUUCGGCAAACUUGUUUGAAAAUUAGAAUCAAACAAGGAAAAUGGCAAGUCAAUAUUUUUUAAUCUAGAAAAAGGGCAAUUUCAAAGUUUAUCACAUGCCAAAUUCAUAGUCUUGCAUCCACUAUUUUCUAGUUUGAAUAACAAACAAAAGCCUUAGACAAAAACACAGAGAACAUCUCACAUGGGAGCAAAAAUUGUGUGUAGAACAAUAUACUUAAGUUACAUGUGAUUACAAUCACAUUAUUUAGCAAAUACAAAAUUACCUUCUCAAAAAAAAAAAAAAAAAAAAAAACACCACCAAAUUAUUGAAGGUAUUACAACAAUAAGGCAAAAGAACACCAAAGGCAUGCACAAACCGAAACUAACACACAACUCAAUUAGUGUCAUGACCCCAAACUGAACAAUCAUAUAAACCAUUGUGGGCUCUCUAAAAGAUUAUCACAUUAUAAGCAAACAGAAACCUAUAUUUGAUGAACUACAUCUAGUACUUACACAACUCUUAAAUCAUUAGGAAAUUGCUCUUAUCAGUCAUUACCCAAUAGUUUUUUUCAACUCAACACUAACAACCCCAAAGAGAAACAACAUCCAGCACCAUUUUCAUUAAUUAAAACAGACCCAUUGUUAUUUUUAAUCAAUAAAAUAACAACAAUAUCGUGUAAGCCACUGAUUCAAGCAUUCAAGCUGUGUUUUCGAAGACUGACCUCUUCUUGCUAUCUAAUUCCAGUCACGAUAGACGCUAGAUGCCGGCAAUACUCGCUUCUUGGAAGCUCUGGACCACCGCACGACGUCAUCUUGUGCAGUAGAUGAAAAUAAAUCAAUGAUUUCAGAAAUUAUUUGUGAGUUGCAGACGCUUCUUCUCCAUGGAUGAAAAUGAUGGUGGGUUUUGUUCAAGUGUAAGCUGUGUUUACGAGGAGAAGUACACUUUGUGAAAAAAUCAUUUUCUUUCAUCUACUGGAUAAUGACUUUGGACUGGGUAAUGGUGUGUUUAAGUCUCUAUUUCACGGACAUUGAAGCAUAUUUUGCUUGAAUUUUGAUUUUGUUUAAAUUUCAAGUUUACUUUUACUUGUUUACCCUUUUAUACUGACGCUUAUGUAUUUUUAUACUAACGUUAAGGGAGGUCUUUGUAAUUAUAUGAAUACUUUCUAUCAGACUGUUAAUACAACAAACCUCAGGGGAGGUCCCUAAAAAUAACCCAACUUAUUUAAAUAGAACUUUUACAAAAAAAAAUUUAGUUAUUUGGUUGUCAAUAAACUUUUCAAGUAUACUUUGUUUGGUACAGCUUUUCAAGUAAAACUUAUUUAAGUAGAGCUUUUACAAAAAAAAAAAAAUUAGUUGUUUGGUUGUCAAUAAAAAUUUUUAUUAAAAAAAAUAUGAAAUUACUUUAUUAGUCAAGUUUUUUUAAAGUUAUGCUAUGAAAAGAAUAAAAUAAGAUUGUCAAAUAAAUAGAAAAUAUUUUAAAUAUUUUAACAUUUAAAAAAACUUUUUAACCUUUAUUUUCAAAAAUCUAAAAUUUAAACUUUUACUAGUAAAGGCAAAAUAAUUUAUUUAAACUUCAAAAGCUUUAUUAGAAAAAUAAUCAAACAAUAACAAAAAUUAUUAUAAAAGCUUAUCGAAUUAAAUAAGUACUUAUAGUUAUUAAAGAAGUUAUAUCUAACAGACACUAAUGCCGAAAGCCCCUUCUAAUUGUGGGUGUAAAAGUUUGAAUUAUGCAUACGGUUAAGGAGUUAAGGUGUGUUUGGCAACUGCAUUAAGUGGAAAUUUUUAUUUUGUUUCGAAUAAAAAUACAGCAAGCUCGUGUUCGGCUCAAAAUAAUGGAACGUUUAAUUUGCAACCGUCGGCGGACGAAGCACACCGUUCACGGCCCUUCGUAUAAAAUUGCAUAUGUAAACGUAAAUAGGUCCGGAUUCAGAUUCGUUGCUGUAGAGAGUGGCACGCACGAUCGGGCUGCUGUCGGUGGUAGGUUGGCAUUGGAAUUCUCAUCACGCGCUUCCCCAGGCGCCUACUUAUGGCAAAUUGACACGUGACGCGUGUGGAUUGAAUGGACAGAGUCCCGGGCAGUGUGUCCAAAGCUGCCAACCGUGCUCUGAUUUUUGUCAUCCAUAAUGGCUAACGACUAACGAGGGAGAUUUCCGGGCAGAAAGAAAUUGUUGUCGUUUCUGAAGGGGAAAAAAAAGUUAUUUAAUUUGUUGUUGAAGACAAAAUGAAGAUCUAAAUAAAUAAUGGCUAAUUUUGAGUGUAAAGCAACGGUAAAUGCAUUAUUAAAUUAGAUUUAGGGUCUGAUUGAGAUUAUUUUUAGAUUUAAAAUUAAUUUUGAAAAGUUAAAAUUAAUUUUGAUGUUUAUUAAUUUUUAUUAAAAAUUAUUUUUGUCAAAAUCUCUCAUCCUCCAGCAUAUUAUAAAAAAUAAGGAAGAAAUAAUUUUUUAAAAUUUAAUUUUAAGAAUCAGUUUUAUACUUAAUAUAAUCCACAUAUAUCCUCGUAAAUAUUAUAAAAAUUUAAAAUUAUUCUUAUUUAUUUAGGAUAUAAAAUUAUUAAAUUCAAACAUAUUAUUAUUAUUAUUAUUAUUGUUAUUAUUAUUAUUAUUAUUAUAAAUUCACACACGCACACACAUACUUAUAAAUUUAUAAAUAAACUUUAUUUAACAUUUUGUUCACUUAAAUCAUUUAUAUUCUUAUAGCAGUUUAACAUUAUGAUUUACCAAACACAGAUAAUUAUUUUUAAAAUCCAUAAUAUUUUUUAAAAUAAAUUUUAAUAAAUGUUUAACUUAUUAUUCUGACAACUGAUUUUUUUUGUAAGGUAUAACCAUUAAUAAUAAAUAUUUUAAAAGUUACAGUAUCCCCAAAUUGGCCCUUACUAAUACUCUGCGUUGCCAACUAAAUACUAAUUGUAACAUUAAACAUCUGGAAUAUUUUUCUCUAACGAAACAACACAAUUAAUUUCCCUCUAAAAAAGAAAAAGAAAAAGAAAAAAUAAACUACCAACCCCACCCCUUUAGACAGCAGAGUUUUAGCUGAGGCGGCUUGCUUGCAUAAGCAUUAAGGCUGCUCUUCACCAACCAUUGAACAUUCUUUCCAUUUGAUUGUUACACUUUACUUCGCCAUCUCAUGUCCAUGUACAUUGUUUUGAAAUGAAGACUUUGCGUACAACUAAUCUUUUUCAAUUCAUAAUAAAAACUCUUUUAAUUAGUUAAUAGCUAUAGCUUCCAAUUGAGACUAUAUAUAAAAAUCCAUAUUGACUGACCAAACCAAUAAUUUUUAAUUGGCUUGAGCAUUGUCUUACUUACUUCAAAAUCGUCACUCUCUUUGAAAAGAACAUGAGAGAGUUCACCUCCAUCUCAACCCUUAACCCUAUAUCUCAGUCAAGAGAUUAUUCAUGGAAAAUUCAGAAAAAAGAAAUGUUGCAAUAUUUACGAAACUCACGUCACGUGAGGUAAGAUAAAUUAUUCCUUUCUGCUUUAAUUCAUGUACAUAAUCAUGAGAAUAACUUUAAUUAUAGUUUAUUUCUCCGUUUUAAGAUUUUUCCUUUUUUUUUUUUAAUUAAUUAAUUAUAGUUCAUUCAUUAAUCCCAUAAGAAAUUAACACCUUUGCCGGUAAAGUCACACAUACAACAAUAUUUUAGAACAAAAGGGAAGAUCAUGCACGAUCAUGAUGUUUUAUUAUAUCUCUAGCAAUAUAAUUAUCUUAUAAUUAAUUAAAAACAAAACAGGUAAUUAAGCCAAAGUGGAUGGCAUGCAUCAAUCAUCAUGCAGAACACCUCCCCUUGUUUUAAAUAUAAAUAAAAGAAAUUUGUGCCCAGAAGACUUAAUUAAUACUUCUCGUUUCUGAAGUGCUCACAUGAUAUAUAGUCGGACGCAUUAUAUUUAAUUUCAUGAAUUAAUCGUACGGUUGUAUUUUGAGAGAGAGAGAGAGAGAGAGAGUGACUGAGUAAGAUAUGGCUUAAUUUAACCAAAUCUACGUAUAAAAUUUUAAAAUGAAUUUUUGAGUUUUAACUUAGGAAUUGUCUAUGAAUAAAAGUGUUAAUCAAAUAUUUCGUGUAAAAACAGUCAGCUGUAACAUUUUCGGUUGCUUUAACAAAACUGUAUAUUUCUGUAAUUUCCUAUAUGGGCCAAAAGGAACAUUUUUCUCAGAAAUUAAAAACUUAUGGUGAAAAAGAUAAGAAAACCAACAGGUUCAAAGGUGCGAGUAAACUGGGCUCUGGUGCGCCCAACUCCCUCUUUUGAUUUUGAGACUCUAUUGACCAUUGAGUUUGAGGCCCCAACGGCCCAGUUUAAAACUGUUAUGAAAAGAAAAAAAAUAUAACUAUAAAAUUAAAAUUAAUAAUGUUUGAUAAAUAUAAUUUUUAAAUAAUAAUUUGACAAAAAUAAUAUAGGGUCUUGUGUAUAUUUUUAUUUGGCAUUUCAAUUAAUCUGCUUAUAUAUAUAUAUAUAUAAGUUAAUCUAUAUUUCUUGCAAGAAGAUAGUAUUUCUUUAAUUAAAGUCAUAACUAAUAUAUAAAUUAUCAACUAACCAUCAAACAUUUAUCUCAUUUUAUCUCCACCACGAUCAUCACCAUUCAUCCUGUCACGAUCUUUAUGUAACUACAAUUAUUUUUUCUUUAAUAAUGUCAACCCACCAACCCCAUAACAAUAUCUCCAAACAUCUCAUCUCAAAAUUCCUAAUAACAUAAGUGUUUAUGUAUGAAAGAAAAUGUGAAAUAUAUAAUCAAAAAGUAGUUUAAUAAUAUAAUGUUUAAAAAUUAUGGUAAAAAUAAGUGAGAGUUUGGCAUGGCAAGUUAAUAAAAAGAUAAAAGCUCGGACACUUGAUGCAUCAAAGUAGCAAUGUCUGUCCAUCAUUAUCAUCAUGCGGGUUUAGGUGCUUCUCAUGAUAGCAUUAGCUGGUAAGACCAUCAUGCAUCGUACUUUCAUUGUUAUACAUUUUGAAGGUAAGAAUGGUUAUGUUACGUCCCUCCGAUUAGGUGUAUUUUUCUUCUUCUUCUUCUUCUUUUUCUUCUUCUUGUACGUAAUAAUUUCUCUUUCUUCCAUGAAGAUUUCUUUCUCUCUUUCUUUUUUUUUUUUUUAUUAUAAAUAAAAUGAUAAGAACUAAUUUCCUUACUAAUUGGUAGGGUCGUUUAAUGGUUCAGAUCCAUUAGAUUUUGUCAAAUUCAAGUCCAAUCCAUCAUAUAUUCCAUUUUAUAUUCCGGAUCCGAUCACUAAUAGAAAUCCAUUAUAAUUUAAAACAAUAAAACGUCGAAUCCAAUUUAAUUCGAUAUGAUCAAUCCAAUUAAAAUAAAAAUUUACAAAUAAAAAUCAUUAGUUGCUCUCUCCAGUUAUAAUUCUUAACAAUUAAAAAAAAUACAAAAUAUCAACUCCUUUAAUAUUUCAUGAUUCAUGUACUUUAUUAUCAUAUGGUUGGAAAAAAAAGUUGAAAUUUGAAUAUUAAAAGCAAAUGUUGGUUGCGACCUGCUGUUUGUAUUCUAUAUUGUUAUAGUAUAUUUAUAGUUAUUUUUUUAGCAAGUUAAAUAUAAAAGUGACAUAUAGUUUUUUUUUAUAAAAAAAAAUAAAUAAAGAAAAUAAAAAAUUAAUUGGUUGGAUUGGUUUAUAUUGGAUUUGAACAUAUAGAUCCAUAGACCAAUCUAAUAACAUUAUAUUUUUUAUUUUGCAAUCUUAUCCAAUCCAAUCAAAAUGUCAAUAUGACAAAAGUUGGAUUGGUUUUGAUCAGAUCGAUUGGUUUGAUUGGAUUGAAUUGAAUUAGAUCUUGAACAUCCUACCAAUUAGACUUUCCGUGAUUUUUUUUUUUCCAAAUUUAAUAAAGAGACUUCCCAUGAAUGUUAAAUGCAGUUUUAUUGAUGAAUUCUGCAAUUUUAAGAAAUGUUUGAUACACGAAUAAUGCAUCUCAUCAACCAAGUAACUGCGUCCCCUGCAGCAGCCGCGGCUUCAACUGGAAUACUGCAGCCACACCGGUCUUGAGACUCAACAUUCGGCCGAAACUCAAGCAAAAGUUGAACAAUAUCAGGCCUGCUUUGAGCUAUAGCAAUAUGAAGCAAUGUUUGUCCCUGCGCACCAGCAGAAUCAGCUGGGUGGGUUCCAAGCAGGGUCACUCUGUUCAAGAACCUCUCUUAUCUCAUCCAUUUCACCAUCCUUAACUAGCUGAACCACAACAUGGGACCCAACAAACAUGAUCUUGAUUCCUAUUGAUGAACGCUGGCUUCUUCCUUCUUGUGAACCAGUCACCAGGAACCGAAUCAAGCAUCAAUGUUGCAUCUUUAAUUGCAGCUGCAGGAACGACAACGCUAUGCAAGAGGAAGGAAUCAUCACAGUGAGGGAAAGUAUGAAGGAGAACUGAUCCUGGAGGAAGAUGAUACGCAAUCUCUAUGCUUACUGUUCCGAGUGGUUGCAUUGACCUGAAUAGUUCGAUCUAUUUCUCGUGUAUCUACUUGCGCUGCACUUUCACUCGAAGAACCUACAAAAUUAUUCAUAACCCGGCAUAAAAAAGACGUAAAGUUUUCAGCGCGAGCAUGGUAACUUCAAAACCCGUUUCAUACCUAUCAUAUUUCAUUCGUCCCGCACCCUCAUUUAAAAGACUAGAGCUUAUAAAAACUAGAAGUACCUUACCCAGAACAUAAAAGCAGACAAAACCCAGUCGAGUAUAAAUAUAACGUUGAAUAACACCUACCAUUUACCAUUUCAUUCAAGAACACCACACAAUUAACGAAACCAACAUCGGUAUGUUUUCAGCCGUUGUACUUUCAACUUAAUUUUGAAAGCGCGGCAGCUAAAGCCUAAACUGUUGUUUGAUAAAAGUCCACCCACUGACUGCUACCUGGCGGCUACCGAUUCCAUUCAAUAGCAGUCAUAAAAUAAAAAGUACAAAACAAACCUAUGUACAAAAAAGGCAAUGAAGCAGCCAUGGAUUCAGUUAUUUGCAUGUUUGGGAUUGUGGUUGAUUCCAAAUUGAGAAUAUACUGCGAAAUUAUGUUUGAUAAGCAUUUAUCUGAUGAUUGCUACUUUAUUGAGUGCCUGUUUGGUAUGGCUUAUUUAAAAGCCAUAAGUGCUUAUUUAAUCGUAUAAGCACUUUUUUAAAAUUUUUAUGGUGUUUGGUUAUUUUUUUAGUAGAGUUUUUUUAGCUUAAAUAAGCUAAUUUACCUCUACUAGCAAAAGCCCAAAAUUUGAGCUUUUGGGAGUAGAGGUUAAAGAGCUUAUCUAAAAAAUAUAUAAUAAAAAAAAUAUCAUACAGUUUAAUGAUUCAAAAGUGUUUUUUUUAUUGACAACCAAACACCCAAUGACUUUUUGUCCAAAAACUCUAUUGGUAUAAGCUCUACUGCUAUAAGCUCUAUUGUUAUAAGCUCUAUUUAAUAAGCUGUACCAAACGGAGCCUAAAGCAUUCAUUUUUUUUUUUCGCGUUUGGCCUCUUCACUUUUUAAAAAAUUUUAUGGUGUUUGGUUAUUUUUUUAGUAGAGUUUUUUUAGCUUAAAUAAGCUAAUUUACCUCUACUAGCAAAAGCCCAAAAUUUGAGCUUUUGGGAGUAGAGGUUAAAGAGCUUAUCUAAAAAAUAUAUAAUAAAAAAAAUAUCAUACAGUUUAAUGAUUCAAAAGUGUUUUUUUUAUUGACAACCAAACACCCAAUGACUUUUUGUCCAAAAACUCUAUUGGUAUAAGCUCUAUUGUUAUAAGCUCUAUUUAAUAAGCUGUACCAAACGGAGCCUGAGUCUUCAAAGAAAAACUCAAUCAACUAAUGCUCGAUUUUUUUUUUUAAAUGACAAAUCAAAAAGUAUUUUGGAGUAGAUUCUCAAAAGAGUGAUUAUUUGAUAAUCCACCAUAAUCCCACUUAGUUAUCAGAAAUAAAUUAAAAUCCGACGAAUGUUACUUAAGCCAAACAGCAUUAUUUUAUUUUGACCACAAGGACCACAACCCUCAAGCUGUCAAGCAACCGUUACCGUUAACGACCAAUCUUUCACCUCUCCGAAUCUUUGCAAGUCACUAUCAAGCAACCGUUACUAAUAUUUAAUCAAUUAUUAGGAUUAUUGGAUUUCUCAAAUACCUUAUGUACUUUGGUUCACUUUCUACUAAAAUAAAUAUUACAGGAGCUUUCAAAGUCUAGGCUAAGGUUGUUGUAAACAUAGAGAGAUUCAGAGAUAUAACAGCUUGUAAUUACAUACCACAAAGCAUAACUUUGUUCGAAUGAUAAUGAUCAUAAUCCAGAUUAUAGACGUAGAGAGAGGAGAAGUCGUACUUGAGGGGCAAAACGCGGCGUUUUGGCUCGUGGAUGAGGUGCUGCUCCUGAUCGUCGUAGAUUGAAGGGAGGAGAGGUCGGUCGAGGAAGUUUAGGAGACGGUGGAGGCUGAAUUGGUGAAUUUCGAUGAAGACUGACGAAUCCAAUGGGGCUUGAGGGUUUGAUUUGCAAAGAUGAAAGAUAAGAGCAUUGUUUUGGUUUCUGUGCAAAAAAAAAAAAAAAAAACAUGACAAGCGUUGUUUUGGUUUUGGUUCUAAAAAGAUGAAAAUUUGACUGCAAUGGAUCCAUACGCAGUCGGUGUCAAAUAAGAGGAGAAACAAAUAUGUUAAUCACUCGCUCAAUCACUCAUGCGAAGUGCCUUUUUUUUCGUUGCUUUGGCUUCUGAGAAAUAUAUGCAUCAGAUAUUACAACUCUCGAGGAUAAUGCAUUUUGUUCCGGUUUUGACUGAUAUUUAGUGGCAUUUGAUAAACUGAUACCUCAGAACCUGGUAGAGAGUUUAUUAAAUACAAAGAGAACAAAAAUAUAUGACUAUAUAAGCUUUUACACGGUUGAAGAUCCGGUCAAAUUGGCUUUAGUUAGCAAGAUCAUUUAAAACUUUCAAAAAACGAAUGGUAUCAAAAAGCUCUGAGAAAAAGCGGAAAAAAGGCACCACAAAGAUCUUGCAAUUAUUAUCACAGCUUGAUAAGACAUGGAAAUGUAUCUUACAAAUUGGCCUUCCAAGCAUCAAAGAAUUGGGUGGCGACAACUCCCAUUCCUAGCUGCUACCGUGGCCAGUCCCUUCUAACUAAAAUGGGACAGGACCAAAAGCAAGGUCUCUCCCACUCUCCUUAUGUAUAUAAAAUUCCCUACAUUCGAAUAAAACUACAGAAAAAGAUUUGCACAUCAUCUUCUUUCACCUUAUUUUGCAAUCUUCAAGAGUUUGGAAGAUUUCAAAGCACUUGUUAGAAUGUAGCACUCCAUUAAGCAUUCUCACCUUCCCCACACCCCAAUGGACCUCCUUAAUCCUAUCGGCAGACCUACAAAUUCUGCUGCAACUCCAAUCAAAUAAAGCAACACAAUUGUUGCCUGCCUAAGCCUUCCACUCACAGCCUGCAAUGACAAGUUCAUGAUACAAAAUCAGAAACAUUAAUAAACAAAAAGAUAUUACCAUUACUUGCAGAGGGGGAUUUGUUGCAAUUAGUAAAUGCCAUACUUAUCACUUUCAUUGCAGAUAUCAUCAUCAUCAUAAUACUAGCAAUCCAGCACUAAUAGUCAGAAUAAUAAUAAUAGUAGCAUGAAUAAAGAAUUUCUGCAGAGUAAGCUCUAAAGAUGCCGAAAGUGUCAUCUAUUAUGUUAAUAAUAAAAAAGUCUAUCAAGAAUUCAAGGAAAGAAAACUCAUUAACAAAGAACUAAACUUUUUAAUAAUGUUUAAUAAACUACGUACCUAUGAUUUUCUAUUAUUAACAUAAAUGACACUACGUACAACUGAUUUUCGCUUUCUAAUGUUUCAAAUCAUACCGAGAAAUAUAACAAUUACCAAGUCAGUAAGUAGCACAAUUACUUAAUAAGACUUUGACUUGUCUAACCCAAAAUUGUACCCAAUUCUAUACUCUACCAUGAAAAGCUUAUGAAGCCGAACUUACUUUGACCAAACAGUACUAUUAGCUCAGUUAAAGGAAACCACAAUUGAACAAAGUUCAGCUGAAAUAACUGAACUAAAAAAACUUGAUAAAAUUAAAAGUAACUUAUAACAGUUUAGUAAAGAAGCAUACAAAACAUGAAGAUAAAUAAACAUAGGUCUAUUUUCUUGACACUACCAGGUCCUUUCCUUUUUUUUUUUUCAGAUAAGAUCUCGAUACUACCAAGUUUUGGAUUCAAAAUCACCAUAUUACAAUAAUAGUUGUGAUUCAUGGGAUACAAUAUGUAGCAGCUUAUAUGUCGGCAAUUAUAGUCAAAGAUGGUUGUCAAACAUCAUCGCAAAUCAAGAAGCUAAUAAAGACCAUGUCACACUACAUUAACAUAUAUCAGUUCUUUGAUACAAAGAUAUUGAAUGUUAUACAUUUCUAAUCCCAAGUCCUGAAAUACAAAACAAAAGUUCACUUCACACAGUCAUAAAGCUAGACUGCUAGAUAAAUGGACAAUAGGCAUUGGAUAUGGGUCAAUAAACUAUUAAGCUAAUUAAUGCACACGAAGGAAUCCGUUAGAGCUAGUAAAAUAGCCCUUACCAGAGAACUCGCAGAAGCAUUCAAUUUCCUCAAAGGAGAUAACUUACAACAUAAACAUUUUGAUAAGCAGCAACACACAUAAAAUAGCUUCACUCACUAGCAACAGAGCAACUUCUUCAACACAUUAAUAAAUCCAUUUUCAUUUUUAAACAACAAAAUAAUGCCCAGUUUCUCCAGCACAAAUAGGGUAAGCAGUAAUAGAAAAACAUGAUACAUAGGAAUUACCGGCCUCAAGAAAUCUCCAAGCUUUCUGUCCUCUGCUUCAAUUGCUCAAUCAAGAAUGCCCCAGACGUUGCGCUAGCGUGGUGGUGGAGCGUCGCGAAGCGUGUGGCGGCGGUGUCGGCGAAGGCAGGUCAUGAAGAUAGUUGGUGUCGCGCAGCGAAGGCAGUGCAGCUGGUGUCAUGCGGCGAAGGCAAAUCGCGUGGUGGUGGAGUUGGGGUCGCGCGGCAGUGGCGGUGCGGUGCUGAGGCAUAAUAGUGGCGGUGGCGUUGUGCGACAGUGGCAGUGUGGAGGCAGAUUGCGUGGAGCUGGCGGUGUUGAGGCAGAUCGCGUGGAGGCAGAUGCCGCGGUGGUGGAGUUGCUGUCGCGAUCAACGCCUGUGAAAGGGAAUGAAAGUGAAGGAGAUACCUACAAAAGAAAGAACGAGUGAAAUUUUUUUUUUUGUUCAAGGGUUUCAAACCCACAUAAACCCGACUCUCACACGGGUUCAGUAAGUUUAUGCGGGUUUGACUGCAUUACAAAUUGGUAUGACCACAACAACAGUACAAUGAUUGGUAAUUACCAAACAUGCUAUUUAUGUUGGUAUUAAAUUAAUUUAAUACAAUGAGGAGUGGUAAUAUCAUACAAUGAGGACUGUUAAAUAUGGUGUGUUUAAUAUGUUGUAUUGUAUUAUAUUAUUUUAAUACAAAUAUAUUAUAUUAUCUUGUAUUAUAAUAUAAAAUAAUGAAAAAUAUCGAAUUUCAAUAUAUAAAAAAAAAAUAAAUAUAUUUUGUUAUAUUCGAUCUGCUGUACGGCCAAGGCGGAUGUACGGUACAGCAGAUAAGAAUUUAAAUACAUACACUUAUAAUACAACUUAGUUUUUCCACAUUGUCGAGGGAUCAAAACAACCCAUCAUUGGAGUCCAAUAAGUUAUGUGGCGACACAAAAAAGUAAUUCUAUAUUUUUUACGUCAUAAAUAUGUAAAAAAAAUUGUAUUAUAUCUUAUUAUUAUUAGUUUUUUUUCUUCAGUUUUGACAAGUAUAGUUUUCUUGUUGAGUGGCUCAACAAGGCUGGUUACAAUUUCGAAAUAAUGUUCCAUCUGUAUCUGUUUUCCUUUUGUUUUUGAUUUUGUAGUAUAGUUAAUUUGUACGAAUUUGUUGCCUGGUUGGUUUUUAUGCUGAAAAGUCAGUUCAUUGGAAAUGACAGAAAAUUGUUUUUCUUUUUCAUUUUUACAGAAAGAGAUUUGCAACGUUAUAAAAGUAAGAGAUCCUAAGAGAUCCCUGAAUCAUAUUAAAUAUUAAACUUAAGAUACAGUCAAGGCUUUUAUUAUGUUACUAAUCAUGUAACGAAUAUAAUUAUGUAGCAGUCGUUAAAUACAAAUUUAACAGUUAUAAAAAUAACAUGAUUUUAUUAUCUUAUAUUUCUAUAAUCGUUGAAUUUUUAUCUGCUGUACCGUACAUCCGCCUUGGCCGUACAGCAGUAUUGAAUUUUAAAAAUUUAAUAUUAUUUUUUUAAUAUAAAUAUUAAAAAAUAUCAUAAUUCUUCAUAGAAAUCGAAGUUCAUGGCAUUAAAUUUUUAACGCCGCAUACAUAAUAAAAAAUUUGAUUCUCUAGUGCCAAUAUAAUAGAAUACAUAAAAACGAGACUGAGAAACUACGAAUAAAGCUCAUCAUCAAGGACUCCACAACAUUAUAAGAAGUACUAUGUAACAUUUGCCAAAUUACAACACCACAUCAAGACAUAUCACAAUGUAAAAUUUUUCCUAGAGAUUUGGUAAUUGAAAAACACAAUUCAAGUUGAAAACUGAUAGUCGACUUGAAAAGUUUUAACAUAUCCCAUAAAAGAAAUGUGCCAUGCCAAAAAUCCUAACCCUUGGCUCUUUGACGAUAAGAAAAUAUUGAAAAUUCCAAAGUACAGUGCAAUGGGAGAAAGAAUGCCUAUAAAGCUAGUAAAGAUAUUCUUAAACUACUAUUGGGAUGUUGGGCUGGUUGGUAGCAAAACCCAAACCCUGCUGCUGAUUUCCGAUACCACCAUCUUGGAUAAGCCGCUCUCCCUCCUCUUCCUAACUCCUAAGCCCAAUAUCUUUCCAAAACCUUCACAACCCACUCAUAAAUCUCAUUGUUGUCGUGGAUAUGCAAAUUCUCAAUCUUUUCUACUCCAUCACACUCAUCAAUCAUUUGGGUAUAAACAUUAACCCAAUUAUCCAUUCCUAUUUCCUUGUUAACCUCACCCACCUUGAAAAUGUUCUCAAGACCCUAUAGACAAACUGUGACGAUCCUUUGGUCCAGACAAACCAGAAGAUCACAGAGCGGUUUGAUGCAACCUUGGCUCACCAGGAAUCUGCAGGACCAUGGUACCAUAAGUGAUUCUAUCACAUGAACAUCAUUAGAUUAAAAAAAGAAAAAAAAAAGAAACAUCUAUCGUAUGAACAUUGCUGAGUGAAUAAAAGAAACAUACUGAAUAUGUUCAUGAGAUCCUCCAUAUGUGGCAUUUAAGACAGGCCAUGCAGCCUCCUUGAUUUCAAGUUCUGCAUGUUGAAGAAGAGGUGCACAAAAGGAAGGAUAAGGAAGGAUGAUAUUGGCCUCCAUAACAGCCUGUUGAACAAAAAUUCGACAAAUUAUAAUUAUGAGUAUAUUUAAGUAGCAAUUUUGUCAGAAUUAACUAGACUUGACUAUUGAGGAAGUCACAUUCAAAAAUAGAAAAGACGAGCAAGCAAUUGUAUUCAUGCUAUCGGGACCAAAAUACUAUGAUGCAAGCAAGAAAGAAAAACAUACAUACAUAUAAAACACUAUCUUUGAGUUGGGUAUUUUCUUUCAAUUUUGAUAAUGGCAACUUUGGAUUCUUCUGCUGAAUUACCACCACCACCACACCAUUGUAGUUUCACAUACUAAGAAAAGGCAGGUUCAGCUCCCGUGCAUGCCCAUAAGAAUAUGAUGUAUUAAUUAGAAGUAAAAUUAAUCUGUUCAAUUAAGUUCUCUCAUAUAUUUGUGUGCGUGUGUGUGUUAAUUAGUUUGCUUUCAAAUCUUUUCUCCCUUCUUAAUGAUAUAUAUUUUAAGCAUGAUAUCAACCACGAUGAAUUUAUUAGCCGAUUUUUAAUUAUACAUUCAGCAUGAUAUCACAAACCAAGAGCUUAAGUUAGCCUAAUUCUUCAUAAAUCUAAUAAUUGCAAUCAAUAAUAAUGCUGAAAAUACGAGUUUGAAUUAAGCUAGCAACUGGUUCUUAAAUUAUGCAAUAUGUAAUCAUAGGUUUACUUAAAGAUUAAAGCAUUUCUGCAAUCCAUUGUGCAAAAAGAUUAAAAAAAAAAAAAAUAGUUGCCAAAUUUUAUCUAAAUAAAAAUUCCUUUAGUGGUUAGUACUUGUGAAUUAUAGAAAUUAUUAUUAGUACUUGCUCAGCGCUUUUUAGAUUUGUACAGGUAGAUUACGCCAUUUCAAACCCGACCAUCCAUUUAGACAUACAAAUCCCCCCAAUUCCCUGUCCUCCGCCUUUACGCGACUCUCCACUGUAUGUGCCAACUAAUUAAUUUUUUAAUUACUUGUUUAACUAAUUAAUUCAUUUUCUCAAAAGCAAGAUUAAUCUAUUUGUUCAAAUCUGAAGGAGAUUAAGUUAAUUGAUUUUAUUGUAUGUAAAAAUAUACAAAGAACUCAUGAAGCCAACUAGAAAAAAAAAAAAAGACAAAAAAAAAAUCAAACCCAGAAAUAAAAAGACAUGCUUCGACAGAAAAUUAAUGAAAAUUAUACUGAUUGUGGUUCAAUUUGAUCAAACCCAAAUAAUAACCGGUUUGAUUGAUGACUCAGCGGCAAAGUGCAGGCGCAUCAGUGGUUGCACAGAUGAGUGUUCUCGUGCGGCACGACAAAGCAAUUGUCGGCGAUUGUGAUUGGUGAUGACAUCGAGCGAUGGGGGUAAUGGCAUCGGUCGUGACUUUGUGAUGGAGAAACGAAUGUUAGAUUCGUUCGAAGAUUCGUGUUUUGAUUGAAUAACAAAGAGAGAUUUUAUGAGUUUUAAUUAUCUAAUACGAUACCGCAUAAACCCGACUCGUACGUGGGUUUAUUUUAUGCGGGUUUCGGUGUACUAAAGCAGUAAAUUUAUGUGGUGCAAUUCAAACUGAUUUCACCGCCAAAAGAUCGUGUAAAUUUAAUAUUAUACAGGGUUUUAAUACUAUGUAAUCCAAUACACCAAACAUGCCCUUAAAAACGGAUAGCAAUCCGGGGCCUUUAAAAACGGAAAAUACAAGCAGAGAAAAAGAAAAGCCAAUUGUUCAAAAGUGCCUAAUAUGCCCACGGAAAAUUUUCGUCACGACCCACAGUUACUCGAAUAGGUAAUAAGACAGGAAUGCCUUUGUUUGUUCGAAUAUAGAAGCACAAUGGCUCAGAAAGGAUCCCUCCAAUCUCCUUGGCACUGUCAGCUGGGUGCGGAGUAGCUUGGUGGCAGCAACCAUGUUUGAGAGGGCUGGCUUCACCUCAGUGUACUUGCGAGUCUUGAGACCACAGUCAGGGUUAACCCACAAAAUGUUGGUUUCUAGCACAGUACGCAUCUCGUAGAUUCUGUCAACAAUUUCUUCGGUUGAUGGUAUUCUUGGAGAGUGGAUGUCAUAGACGCCAGGGCCAAUUGCAGCAUCAUACUGGACUCCCUCACGGAAGACUGACAGGAGAUUCUCAUUAGAACGAGAGUUCUCAAUGGUGAUCACAUCAGCAUCCAUGUCGAUAAUUGAGUGGAUAAUGUCGUUGAAGUUGGAGUAGCACAUGUGGGUGUGGAUCUGUCAAUCAAUAAACAAUAGAAUGAGAUACAAAAUCAACAGCUAAAUUAAAGAGAUGAGAUUGGAGAUUAAAAGGGUAACUGACCUGGGUAGUGUCCUGGAUGCCACAGUUGGUGAUUCUGAAGGAGUGGACUGCCCAGUCCAAGUAGAAAGCAUGCUCAGAUUUCCUGAGAGGCAAUCCUUCCCUCAAGGCAGCCUCAUCAAUUUGAAUAACGUUAAUGCCUGCCUUCUCAAGAUCCUCGACUUCGUCCUUGAUGGCCAAAGCAAUCUGGUAGCAGGUUUCAUGUCUGCAAAAUUGGCAGCGAUUGAUGUUAAACAAUGUUUCCAUUCCAAAAGGUUAACCAAUAGUGAACCAGUUCUCAUUUAUAUACCUGGGCUGGUCAUUUCUGACAAAGGACCAGUUGAGAAUGGUGACAGGGCCAGUAAGCAUUCCCUUCAUUGGGCGAGCAGUCAUGCUCUGAGCCCAGGAGGACCAGAAGACGGUCAUAGCCUUGGGACGGCUCACAUCACCAUAGAUGAUGGGUGGCUUCACACAGCGAGAUCCAUAGGAUUGCACCCACCCAUUGGCAGUGAAGGCGAAACCUGAUAACUGCUCUCCAAAGUACUCAACCAUGUCGUUUCUCUACAAAAACAAAUGUCCGAAUUCAAUUUGAGAUCCAGCAUACUUCGUAUGCAAUUAGAAAUGCAGAAACAAAAAUGUAUAAAAUUUUAUGUAAUUCAAAACCAGGAGACAUUGCUUUGCUUCCAUUGGGCAUUGCGAGACUCACCUCAGGCUCUCCAUGGACAAGGACAUCAAUAUCAAGCUCUUCUUGGAGUUUGACAACCUUGUUGAUUUCCUCCUUGAUGGAAGCAACAUAUUCUUCCUCAGAAAUCCUAAAAAGGACAAAUAGUCACGGCACAGUUAAUACAGUAGUUGCAGUAAUUUCACACAUGGCAUUGAAUGAAGAAACACCUCAGAUUGACUCACUUCUUAGCCUUGUAUUCACGGCGGACUCUCCUAAGUUCAAUGGUUUGUGGGAAGGAUCCAAUUGUGGUGGUUGGGAGGAUUGGAAGAUUGAGCUUCUUCUGUUGAGCAUCUAAUCUAGCACUAACGUUUGUAGCACGUCUGUGGUCUGAUCCCCUCAAAGCAGCAGCCUAAUAGACCAAGAGGAAGGAAUCACUGUUAGCAAAAAAGGAAAUUCUAAGGGACAGCCACAUCAUAAAAAUGGAAAACAAAUCAAUCAUGCCACUUACAGCCUUUUGAACUGCCUCAUUGGUCACUCUCGGGGAGGACUUUCUUGAAGCCUGAGCUGCAGCAUUGGCAGAGAAGAAUCCCUGGAAACAAAUGAUAAGGAGAACCAAAGUUAGUCUCAUUCAUAUCAUUUUAAAAAGAAGAUACAUAUGCAAUUAGUGGGCUGAUUGUGAGAGAAAAAGUCCCCAAAACUUUAAUCAAACACCAAAUGCCCAAGUUGCCAAAUGAUGUUUAAUUCGGAAAAAUAUAUUUAAAAACAUUCAAAUAUAAUUUCCCCUUCUAAAUUUUCAUUUUCAACAACAUAUUUUACAAGCCAAGCUCAACGUCAGGCCAAGAUUUUGUGCUCCUAUAAUUAUAUUUUACCAUAAAACUAGGUCCUUGAAAGGCUAAGAUUUUCUGACUCUUGUGACUAGUCAAAGCCUAAGAUUCUUUCAAUUCAUCCGUAGUAAAAGUAUACCUCAUCCUUUUGGCCAGCCAAAGCCUUGGCCAAUGCAUUGACUUCAACAACUUUCUGGGCAGCAAAUGCCAGCCAUGACUUGAUUUCGUCGUCGAGUUUGUUCUCAUUAACAAGAUCAACAGCAGUGUGAAGAAGUGAGCAGGAGGUGGAGACCACAAGCUUGUCUGCAAAGAAAAGUAAUAAAUUAUACAACAAAUCCCAUAAUAGAAUAAGAAAUAUUUAUCACAAAGAAAAAUGCAAGCAAAGGAUGUAUACCUUUGCCAACAACACCCUCAAGCCCCCGGAGAACACUAAGAGAAGCAGCAAGAUCAUUGGCCCAAAUGUUCCUUCCAUCAACCACUCCAGCAAAGAGGUACUUGCCAGCAGGGAAUCCACUCUUGAUCAAUUCAAGGGUCUUGGUUCCACGAACCAAAUCAAAUCCAUAAGCGGUGACACCCUUCAAAGAAGUGAGGGUCUGGAAUGCCUCAGCUGGAACAUCAGCAAAGUAGGUCUCAACAAGAACAUUCAAGCCAGACAGAGUUGACUCUAGUUCCGCGUAAGCCUCACUGAAUGCUUGCAAUUUGUGUGAGUCAAGAUCCGUAACAAGCAAUGGCUCAUCAAACUGAAUCCAGGAAGCACCAGCAGCCUUAAGCUCAGAAACAACUUCCCUGCAGAAGUGUUAAUUGGUACGACACGGAUUAAUGAUGCCACACGAUACACACACACACACACACACACACACACACACACACACACACACACACACACACACACACACACACACACACACACACACACACACACACACACACACACACACACACACACACACACAGACAGAGUUAUUUAGCACAUACACGUUUAUAAAUCUGUAAAUAGGUGAUAAUUCUUACUUGUAGAUCGGAAGGAUUUUGGGAAGAAGAGAGAGAACAGAAAAGGUCUUCUCAACCCCCCAGGCAGGCUUAGACAGCAACAAGUAUGACACAGGGCCAAUAAGCACUGGGACAGUUUCAACUCCAUGCUGCAGCAUUAGACAAGUGGUAGAUAUUAGCAUCUCACAAACUUGAUCUGACUGAUAGAAAGUUACAAGCAAGUUAAGAAUAUGUUUGAUGAAAUUUCAAUGAAAAAUCUUCAGGGUCCACAACAUGUUGACUAUACCCUUUUUAAGUAAUUUAUCUUAAGACUAUUUUGCAAACAGUAUUGCUUCCCUUUACAGAUCAAAUAAAUCAUACAACAUCUGAACGCAUUUCCUGAGCCAAAUAUAAGUUCAAAGCUCUAUAAUAAAUGUCAAUGACUCUAUAGUAAAUUCCAUCACAUUCUGAGCUAUGGAUGAGCAUAUCAUAUGCCAAUUUCAAGUUGAACGUAACCCAAUUUCAACAUAUUGUAGAUUCAAGUAUCAAACGAAAAAAAAAAUAUUGUAAAUAUAGACAGAACUGAGAACAAACACUCACCCCCUUAGCCUCCUUGUACUCAGUCACAGCCUUGUGGGAAGCGUAGGAGAACUUAACAUCGGGUCCCAAUUCAGGAACAAUGAAAUGACUGCAUCAACACGAAGCCAAACACACGUCAGCAUUCAGUACAAAACCAUUACACCAUAACUAACUUGAAAUGCCGCUCUUCCAAGUAGUGAAUACUUACUAGUUGGUGUCGAACCACUUGGUCAUUUCCAUUGCGAGAACAGAGGCGUUUCCUCUGGCCAUGGAGAAGUAAACAUCGAAUCCAAUCUCGCCGCCGUUCCAGUUAAACCUCGGGGGCACGGCACCGAGCAUUGCGGUGGUGUCGAGCACUUGGUCGUAGUAGGAGAAAGUGUUGCUGGGAAUGUAUUUGAUCCCGGCCUCGGACAUCUGUUUCCAGAUGGAGGAUCUGAGAUCAGCGGACACCUUUUGCAAAUCCUCGGCGCUGCUCUUGCCAUCCCAGAAGGAUUCCAACGCGAACUUGAGCUCCCUCUUGGGGCCCAUGCGUGGGUAACCAACGAUGUGAGAUGCCAUUUUACUGUCAUAAUCACGUCAUCAAUGAAUCGAAAAUCAGUCCCUUCCAUUAAAUCAAGAAAUUAUUAAUUCAAAUGAAUGGAUCACAUUGUAUAUAUAUGGGAUAAAUAUAAUUAUGAACAAAAGCGUCUAAUCAAUCACAAAAAGCAAGCGACUGCAUCAAAUUUAGGGAUCCGACCCGACCCGACCCGAUCUGUAAAUUCCGGUUUCAAUCGGAUUAAGAUGAAACCUCUAACCCGAUAUAGUUGGAUUUUGGCCAACUCGAUCGGAUCAGAUCGGAUCGGAUUAAACUUAGUCCAAUCCGAAAAAUUCAAAAAAUCAAAACUACAAUAAGUAUAAAUCUAAAUUUUCAAUUCAAUUUGAUCUAAUCUGAAUAUAUUCGAAUCGGAUCAAAUACUAUGCUCUGCUUAAACUUGGAUUAUAUUUUUUUCAAUUUGAUUAACCUAAAAUUCGAUUGGAUAGAUCCAAAACUGAAUUUAUCUACCCCUCAGUCAUCAAUCAAUUACAAAACCUAAAAUCCGAUUGGAUAGAUCCGAAACUGAAUUUAUCCACCCUUAAGUCAUCAAUCAAUUACAAAGGCGACUGAUGUUUAUACAAUGGACAAUUAUUAAGUUACAGCUCUUGUAAUUUACAACUUAUACAAAAAUAUGUGAAAAAUUGUGAUAGGCAGUACAGUGUCAUGAUUUUAUACAAAAAUAUGUAAACAAUUGUGAUAGACGGUAGAACCUCAUGAUUUUAUAAAAAAUACGUAAAAAGUUGGGAUAAGUAAUGGAGCCCGCAUAAUUUUUUAUCAGCUGCAAGUUGCAAGUUACAGCAACUGUAACUUAGCGACCCCGACUUCAAUGUAAAAUGAGAAAGUACUCCUCCGCAUAGUACCUGAUGCUCAAAAGUCAAAUCACACGAAAUGCAAAUAGACUUAUCAGAGCAUAAAACCUUAUAUUACUUUUUGAAAAACGAUUUGAAACAAGGGCAAAAUUACAGUGUAACCGUACUUAGUCAUUGAAUUCAGCUCACAAUUAUCAUUAUAGUUAGAUCUAAUAACUAGAUCCAACUGUAUCCACAGUUAUAUUGUAGUUAGAUCUGAUAACUAAAUCCAGAUCCAGCUGUCCCCACAAUUGUCAUUAUAGUUAGAUCUAAUAAUUAGAUUCGGCUGAUUCAGCUGUGAUGUAGUACCCUGUAGUGCCAUAACUGGACAAAGAAACAAACUGAUAUAUUUUCUUUUUUGAAACAAACUGAUACUAAUCCAAGAGUUUCAGAUGAUCGGUUUUUUUUUUUUUUUCUAUAGUCACAUCAAUAAUUAAGUACUUUCAGUCAUUUUCGAAGGAUUAAAACGAAAACUCUAAAAAAAUUCUGAGAAUGAAGAAUCCGAAAAUAGAUUCAGAAAUAGUAACACAAGUAGAGGUCAGAUUGUUUUUUGGAAAAGAUUAAUUGCAGAUCUGAUGAACUCAAGUCUAGAUCUAGCAAAAUCACGGCAGCCAAACACUAGAUCUAAGACUAACAGUCACUCACCAGUCGAUCAGAAAGUGAAAUCAAGUUCAAAAUUCUUUUUUUUUAAUAGAUCCAAAAGCUAAUAUACAUAUAUAUAUGGCAAAAUAUAUAUACCGUACCCGAGAAGGACGAGCAGAGAAAUUAAGCUUUUUUCGAGAGAACGAGAAAGAAGAGAGACGAGACUGUUAGAAAUUGCUGUCAGUUUAAUUUUUAUUUAUAGCCAAAAACCUAACCUUGUUUAGUGGUUACUGGUUACCGUCUUCGGCGGUGUUGAUCUGAGAUUUAUCAUUUUAAUUUCUUUCUCUUACUUAUUUAUUUAAUUUGGGUCCAACUACGGUGAAACUGUAGUACCGUGCUACAGUUAUUUUCAACCGUUUGAUUCACUUGGAUGGUGGGAUCCAAUAAAAUCCAAUAACUGGGUGCAACCGUAGCACGGUGCCGCAGUUGCACCACAGUUUUUCCCAUUUAUUUAUUAUGCUUUCAGUGCAGUUGGCAAAAACAUGGAGCUUACGCGCGCUUUUCUGAUGUGGCGCGUGAAUUGGAAAUGUGGUAGAUCUUUGUGGAUCCGCCGGUGCAGUGAAGAGUGAAGGAAAAAAGAGAAAAGUUAUCAUGCCAGAUCAUUUGAAGAGAGCCGCAAUUAGUAAUUACACCACAAUAUAUUUCUGAUUAUUUGCUUACUUUGAUGAUGUUUUUACUGAUUAGUAAUUGGAAUAUGUUAGAAUCUAAAUAUAGUAGAAUCAUAAUAGAGUUGAAUCAAAAUAGACUAUAAUUAGAAUGGAUAAUGGGAAUUAGAAGAAUUAUUUGCUUUAGUUGUGAGAAUCCAAAUUGGAAUGAACUAUAUUGUCGUUGAUAUGUUUACUUUAUCAUAGAAUAUGAAUGAAUUAUUACAAGUUACUAAACAGACCUUAAGUUGAUUAUUGUCAUUAUUUAUUUAUUUAUUAUUAUUAUUAUUAUUAUCAUCAUCAUCAUCAUCAAAAUUAUUAAUCUUAUUAUUAAUGUUAAUUAUAAUAAUUAAUAAUUAUAAUAGUAUUAUAAUAAUAAUAAUAAUAAAAGCAAUCAUAAAAUGAGAAUUUCAAGAUUUAAGUAGAGAUAAUAUAAUUAUUUUAGAAAAUGAGAAUUUCCAUGAGAAUGUGAACUCUAUUAAUCAUUCCCAAUUUGAAGUGGGGCCUGCCAUUUUGAUUCAAUCUCUCAUUUAAGCAAGUAAAUACGACAUUUAUUCUCAUUCCCUCAUUCCCACUCUCAGGUAGCGUUUGUUUUUUAACUUAAUGACUUAAAGUGACUUAACUUAAUUAAUUAAGUUAAUUAGAGGUGUUUAUUUUUAUAACUUAAUGAGACUUUUUAGAUAAUUUUGACUUAAUAAAAUGAGCCAAUUUUUUUUGGCUUUUUACUUAAUGGAGAAAUUUGAAUUUAGUCAAUUACUUACUAAUGUCAAAAAUAUCUAUGUUUUAUAAUUUAUUUUUCAUGUCUAUCCCAAAACUCACCCAUAGACAUUUACCCCACAUAAAAAUAUCCCUAUUUUUUCUUUCUUAUAUUAUAUACGAUAAAAUUUGAAAUUUAUGGUAUUUUAUAUAUUAAAAUUCUAAAAUAAUUAUGUAUUCACUUGAAUAUAGUUUUACUUAUAACUGUUAAAAUAUUGUGGUAUUUAAUAUAUUAUUUAUUUGACAUUAAAAUUUAAUAAGGAUACAAAUGUAAAAGUACAUAUUUUCAGUUUUUUCAGUUAAAAAAAAAGCAACUUAAUACUUAUUUUUCGAGAUUCAGACGAAAAAAUAAACAUAUUAUUCAUAUUCAGACAUUUAGAUAUAUUCAGAAUUCAAACUAAUUCAGGUCUAUUCAGAUUUUAGACAAAAAAAACAAACGCCACCUCAAUCAAUAAACACACCAUAAAUGUAGAGUUGUUACUAUUAGAAUACAUUAUAAUUCAUCACAAUUAUGAUAGGUAUAUACGUGUGUAAUAAUUUAUAUAAGAUGCUAAAUUUUGAAAAUAAUAAAAAAUCAUUUAUACAUAUUUAAAAAAAUCAUUAAUACAUUAAAAUGUGCAUCACAUAUACAUUUACAUAAUAGCAAUGACCAUAGUAUAAAAAAAACUCCUAAAAGAGAACGACUUCGUUAUUUAUGUUAUUUUAUAUAUUUUUAAUUGAUUAUUAAAAGGAUCAAUUGUUAAUUAUUAUUCUCCAAACAUAAUCACCGUUAAACAUUUAUUCAAUUUAACAAUAGGUAGAUGUUAAAUAAUAUUGGAAUAUUUAAUGAACAAUAUAAUCACUAUUGCAGUUGUUUUUUUUUUUUAGUAAUGGAUUAUUCGAAACUCAAAUUCAUUUUUUAGCCCCCUUACCUCUCUUAAAAUUCAAAUUUAAGUGACUAAACAAAUAAAACUGCUUAAAAUCUAUACGACUACAUCUUUGGGGACCAAUUAAUAUGGAUGUUUAAAUCUUGAUUUAUUAUUAAAUCUUUGAGUUUCAACCACUAAUAACAUCAUCAUCGAUUAAUGACAAAUAAAAUAAUACAUCAUCAAAACCAUUAAACACGUCCAUCAAUAUCAAAAACAAGUAAAAAGUUUAGCAUGUAUUUCAAAUAUACUUUUCAUCCCAAAAGUUGUAGAGAAAGUCUCGAUAUCAAUGUCACUAUGAGACGUAAUUUUAUAUUUAAAGUCAGCGCAACUUAAAAAUUACUAUGAAUGAAUAAUACACCAUAAAAAAAUUAUUUAUAAGUAUUUUCAUCAUGUAUUUUUAUUUAACAAUGGUGACAUUUAUUUUUUAACUUAAUGACUUAAAGUGGCUUAACUUAAUUAAUUAAGUUAAUUUUAGGUGUUUGUUUUUAUAACUUAAUAGGACAUUUUAGAUAAUUUUGACUUAAUAAAAUAGGCCAAUUUUUUUUAACUUUUUACUUAAUAGAGAAAUUUGAAUUAAGUCAGUUACUUUCUAAUGUAAAAAAAUAUUCCUACUUUAUAAUUUAUUUUUCAUGCAUAUUCAAAAACUCACCCAUAGAUAUUUACCCCACAUAAUCUCAUCUUUAUUUUCUUCCAGCCGUCAUGGAAUCCCUCCUCACUUUGCUUCUCUCCUCUAGUUCUUGAAUCUCCCUUUAAUUUCUCGCUAGGCAAAGCACUUGAAUUGGGCUUUUUUUUUUUCCUUUUCAAUUACGUUUUCCAACAUUCACUUAUAUAAUAAUCAACUAGUUGCUACUCUUUUUAGUGAUAAAAUUUGAAAUAUGGUAUUUUAUAUAUUAAAUUUUCAAAAUUAUGUAUUCACUUAAAUGUAGUUUUACUUAUAAAUAUUAAAAUAUUAUGUUAUUUAAUAUAUUAUUUAUUUGACAUUCAAAUUUAAUAAGGAUAUAAAUGUAAAAGUACAUAUUUUUAAUUUUUUAAGUUGAAAAAAUAACUUAAUAUUUAUUUUCAGAUAUUCAAAUAAAAAAUAUAUUAUUUAAAUUCAAAAAUUUAAAUCUAUUCAAAAUUUAAAGUAAUUCAGGUCUAUGCAUAUUUCAAUCAUAAAAACAAAUGCCACAUGAGUCAUUCAAUUUCUAAUUAAGAGGAUAAAAAAUAGAUUUGGACUAUCCUAAGACAAAAACAAAAAAAAAAACAAAAAUAAGAUUUCCUAAUAAGUGUACUAACGUGGUCACGCGCCUUGAGAAACGCUUGGACCUAACACACUAUUUUAAUCCGAUAUGCAAAAAAAGAAAAAAAAAAAAAAGGAAAAAUUAUGAGAUGUAUAAGUUUCUAGAGACGUGUUAAAUUUUGAUGAAACAAUGAAGAAAGUCGGUGGCCGAAGUUGGUAUGGGGCAAUGCGAAUGGUGGUUGGCCCACGUUGCCCUGUAAUUGGAGUUGUUAUAAUUUUUCUUAUAAUUAAUAGGACUUGACACAGACUGCAGCAUCAGCCGUUGGAUGUGGAGGGAGAAACUAAACAAUAGAAAACCGUAUGGUGGGAUGACGGUAGAUGUUUGUUACAGAAACUGUACCAUAGACAGGUCCUAAUUAAUAAGCUCUACGUUUUGAAACAAUAAAUAAACUCCAGAUGACCAAAAUAUCAUUUCAUACUGCUACCUAGACAUCUUGGCGAGGGUGGGUAAUGUGGGGCCCGGAGCUUGUUUGAUCGUCAAUUAUUCUCUGGUUUGGUGAAACGAAUGGACGGACGAUGGUGAUGGCUUUUAGGAGAUUAGUAUUAUUAUUAUUAUUAUUAUUAUUACAUUGAGAUCGUAAAACAAAAAAUUCAAUUAAUAAUAUAAAAUAUUUAUUUAAUUUAUUAAUUAUUAUAUAUACACAAUAAAAAAAUUUAUAUACAUAUUUAUAAAUGUGUAAAUAAAUUUCAUUCAAUAUUAUAUCCAAUUAAUCAUUUAUAUUUUUCUGCUGUACCGUACAUCCGCCUUGGCCGUACAGCAGUAAAGCUGCUGAUGCUUUAUCGCGAAUUCAUGAGGAAAAUGUGAUUGAAGAACCCAAACCAACAACUCUUUGUUUGUCGUUAGACAUUUACCCCACAUAAAAAUAUCCCUAUUUUUUCUUUCUUAUAUUAUAUACGAUAAAAUUUGAAAUUUAUGGUAUUUUAUAUAUUAAAAUUCUAAAAUAAUUAUGUAUUCACUUGAAUAUAGUUUUACUUAUAACUGUUAAAAUAUUGUGGUAUUUAAUAUAUUAUUUAUUUGACAUUAAAAUUUAAUAAGGAUACAAAUGUAAAAGUACAUAUUUUCAGUUUUUUCAGUUAAAAAAAAAGCAACUUAAUACUUAUUUUUCGAGAUUCAGACGAAAAAAUAAACAUAUUAUUCAUAUUCAGACAUUUAGAUAUAUUCAGAAUUCAAACUAAUUCAGGUCUAUUCAGAUUUUAGACAAAAAAAACAAACGCCACCUCAAUCAAUAAACACACCAUAAAUGUAGAGUUGUUACUAUUAGAAUACAUUAUAAUUCAUCACAAUUAUGAUAGGUAUAUACGUGUGUAAUAAUUUAUAUAAGAUGCUAAAUUUUGAAAAUAAUAAAAAAUCAUUUAUACAUAUUUAAAAAAAUCAUUAAUACAUUAAAAUGUGCAUCACAUAUACAUUUACAUAAUAGCAAUGACCAUAGUAUAAAAAAAACUCCUAAAAGAGAACGACUUCGUUAUUUAUGUUAUUUUAUAUAUUUUUAAUUGAUUAUUAAAAGGAUCAAUUGUUAAUUAUUAUUCUCCAAACAUAAUCACCGUUAAACAUUUAUUCAAUUUAACAAUAGGUAGAUGUUAAAUAAUAUUGGAAUAUUUAAUGAACAAUAUAAUCACUAUUGCAGUUGUUUUUUUUUUUUAGUAAUGGAUUAUUCGAAACUCAAAUUCAUUUUUUAGCCCCCUUACCUCUCUUAAAAUUCAAAUUUAAGUGACUAAACAAAUAAAACUGCUUAAAAUCUAUACGACUACAUCUUUGGGGACCAAUUAAUAUGGAUGUUUAAAUCUUGAUUUAUUAUUAAAUCUUUGAGUUUCAACCACUAAUAACAUCAUCAUCGAUUAAUGACAAAUAAAAUAAUACAUCAUCAAAACCAUUAAACACGUCCAUCAAUAUCAAAAACAAGUAAAAAGUUUAGCAUGUAUUUCAAAUAUACUUUUCAUCCCAAAAGUUGUAGAGAAAGUCUCGAUAUCAAUGUCACUAUGAGACGUAAUUUUAUAUUUAAAGUCAGCGCAACUUAAAAAUUACUAUGAAUGAAUAAUACACCAUAAAAAAAUUAUUUAUAAGUAUUUUCAUCAUGUAUUUUUAUUUAACAAUGGUGACAUUUAUUUUUUAACUUAAUGACUUAAAGUGGCUUAACUUAAUUAAUUAAGUUAAUUUUAGGUGUUUGUUUUUAUAACUUAAUAGGACAUUUUAGAUAAUUUUGACUUAAUAAAAUAGGCCAAUUUUUUUUAACUUUUUACUUAAUAGAGAAAUUUGAAUUAAGUCAGUUACUUUCUAAUGUAAAAAAAUAUUCCUACUUUAUAAUUUAUUUUUCAUGCAUAUUCAAAAACUCACCCAUAGAUAUUUACCCCACAUAAUCUCAUCUUUAUUUUCUUCCAGCCGUCAUGGAAUCCCUCCUCACUUUGCUUCUCUCCUCUAGUUCUUGAAUCUCCCUUUAAUUUCUCGCUAGGCAAAGCACUUGAAUUGGGCUUUUUUUUUUUUCCUUUUCAAUUACGUUUUCCAACAUUCACUUAUAUAAUAAUCAACUAGUUGCUACUCUUUUUAGUGAUAAAAUUUGAAAUAUGGUAUUUUAUAUAUUAAAUUUUCAAAAUUAUGUAUUCACUUAAAUGUAGUUUUACUUAUAAAUAUUAAAAUAUUAUGUUAUUUAAUAUAUUAUUUAUUUGACAUUCAAAUUUAAUAAGGAUAUAAAUGUAAAAGUACAUAUUUUUAAUUUUUUAAGUUGAAAAAAUAACUUAAUAUUUAUUUUCAGAUAUUCAAAUAAAAAAUAUAUUAUUUAAAUUCAAAAAUUUAAAUCUAUUCAAAAUUUAAAGUAAUUCAGGUCUAUGCAUAUUUCAAUCAUAAAAACAAAUGCCACAUGAGUCAUUCAAUUUCUAAUUAAGAGGAUAAAAAAUAGAUUUGGACUAUCCUAAGACAAAAACAAAAAAAAAAACAAAAAUAAGAUUUCCUAAUAAGUGUACUAACGUGGUCACGCGCCUUGAGAAACGCUUGGACCUAACACACUAUUUUAAUCCGAUAUGCAAAAAAAGAAAAAAAAAAAAAAGGAAAAAUUAUGAGAUGUAUAAGUUUCUAGAGACGUGUUAAAUUUUGAUGAAACAAUGAAGAAAGUCGGUGGCCGAAGUUGGUAUGGGGCAAUGCGAAUGGUGGUUGGCCCACGUUGCCCUGUAAUUGGAGUUGUUAUAAUUUUUCUUAUAAUUAAUAGGACUUGACACAGACUGCAGCAUCAGCCGUUGGAUGUGGAGGGAGAAACUAAACAAUAGAAAACCGUAUGGUGGGAUGACGGUAGAUGUUUGUUACAGAAACUGUACCAUAGACAGGUCCUAAUUAAUAAGCUCUACGUUUUGAAACAAUAAAUAAACUCCAGAUGACCAAAAUAUCAUUUCAUACUGCUACCUAGACAUCUUGGCGAGGGUGGGUAAUGUGGGGCCCGGAGCUUGUUUGAUCGUCAAUUAUUCUCUGGUUUGGUGAAACGAAUGGACGGACGAUGGUGAUGGCUUUUAGGAGAUUAGUAUUAUUAUUAUUAUUAUUAUUAUUACAUUGAGAUCGUAAAACAAAAAAUUCAAUUAAUAAUAUAAAAUAUUUAUUUAAUUUAUUAAUUAUUAUAUAUACACAAUAAAAAAAUUUAUAUACAUAUUUAUAAAUGUGUAAAUAAAUUUCAUUCAAUAUUAUAUCCAAUUAAUCAUUUAUAUUUUUACAGCGGUUUAAUAAUAAUAUUUACUAAAUACAUAUGAUUAUUUUUAAAAUUCACAGUAUUUUUAAAAAUAAAUUUUAUAAAAUUUUUAACUAAUUUUCUUUACAACUAACUAUUGAACGGUUUAACUAAUAGUAAUUAUUUUUAAAAUUAUAGUAUUAUCAAAUUAGUCCUAUGUCAAAUUUGUUAUUGCUGUUUUUUUUUUAAUUAAAAAAUUACAUAGUGCAUACGUGCAUAAUAUGCCCAACUCAAAAAUUCACACAAAAUAUACUAUUUAACUUUAAGGCUUUAAUUGAAAAAAAAAAUUAAGAUUAAGAUGAAUAAAUACUAGAACAUAACAAAUAGAUAAACUCUCCCAUUCUUUAAAAAGAUUAAUUUUAUUUUAAACUUACACUUCGAAUUCAAAGUAGACAUUGAUUGAUAAAAUUAUACAAACGGAUCAAUAUUCCUACAUUUUCUUUUUAAUUUCAAAACCAACAGAUAUUGUUUGUUCAUUAUAUGACCUCCAAACAAAUAAUUUCAUUAAUAAAAUAAUAAUGAAAAGUGUCGUGAUGGGUAUAGAGUAAUUAGGUGGCUAAGUUUCUACUUUUCAUUCUAACUCUUGAGGUUGGUAGGCGCGUGGGUGGUCCACAAAACCCGUGGACGGUAGCAUUCAAACAAAGACUGGAGGCACCAGAAAAAUGUCCAAAAAGUGUGAAACCGUGACGUGUUCAACAUGUUAAUAAAUUUAGGCAAAUGUUAAAGUUACGGAGCUGGCUACGUUACAGAAACUGUACGUAACAGCCAUGCAUUUUUUAUUCGUUGGAUCUAGAGACUGAAAUUGGAUGGUUGGGAUUAAAGGCCAGAAUAGAAAUUAAUCACGGGCAACCGUUUUUAACAUUUAGAAGGGUUUAUUUUCAUGCACACCCAAAUAUUUUGACAAAUAUCAAUAUGCACCCAGUAACUUUUUAUGUAAAACCACAUAACCGACCCGUUAACUUUUCUACUAUUGAAUUAAAAAACUAUCAUGCCUCAAUUGAAUUAAAUUGAUCAGGUAAAAUAUCUUUUAUAACUUGUCAAUUUUUACAGUGAAAUAUACGAGUAUUUAGUAAAAUCAAAUUUAUUUUUUAUUCAGUAAUCAAAUUUUUUUAUUUAGUGAAAUCAAAAUUAUUUUUCUUUAGUUGUAAGAUUUUUUUAACAAAAAAAUUCUAAAAUCAGAUUUAACUCAUUUACUAUUUUAAAAAAUGAACUUUUUACUAACCAAACUAGAGUUUAUCUUUAGUCAACAUAUUUUUUUCUCUAAAAUAACCUUUGAUAGAAUUACUUAUAUAAACAUGUCAGUAUCAAAAUUACUUCAUAUUUUACCAUCCAUCAAUUUAAACUAGUGUGAAAUUUUUUUAGUUUGAUAUUGAAAAUAUGAUAGUUGAUGAGAGAAAUCUAAUUCAAAUUUACAGAUAGAAUAGUUUCUUAUAAUUGCGUACAUGGUAUAUCAAAAAUAUUUUUUUGUGAGUUUUUAAAAAAAUUGUGUCACAAGAUGAAAUUAUCUCUUGAUUUUUCAAUUCCUGGAAUUUAUGUAAAACAAUAAACACAAGUAAAUCUUUUGGUUUGUGACUUCUUGAAGGAAUGUUUGGGAACGCACAAGUUCCUCUCUCCUUCAAAAAGAAUGAUAAGUGCAAAUACCAACCUAGAAAAUUGAUUUAUAAUUCAAAGAAGAUUUGAUUGAAGAUGAUUAAUUGAAAUUUAUCUUUGCAUGAUGUCAAACAUUUUUCAAAAUGACUAAGUCAAGUCUCUUUGUUAAUUCAAAUCAAGAAAAAUUAGAAAAAUAUUAAUGCAUAGAAAUUCUACUAAGAGUUAUUUAUGAAAUUCUCAAACGAAUAGAAAUUAAAUUAACAUUUUUAAAUUUUAGUUAUGGGUUUAUUUUAAAAAUGGGUUUAGAAAGAAAUUUGAGGGGUUUAAAGAACCCCGCCCUUUCUUUAAUUAUUCGGUGAAUUUGAAAUAUAUUAAUAAGGUAUAAGAAUAUGUUAUUCUAAUCUUCUUAUGCAAAAUCUAUGCAAUUAAAAAAAAAUUCACCAAACGGUAUUUGUCUUUUUAUUGACAUUUAAUAAUAUUGAUGGCAAAUAUAUACAAUUAUCAAUCAAUUGUUAUCAACUAUUCAAGAUAACUGAAAAACUAAUUGCGUGAAGUUGGAGUAAUGAUUGUUUGAAUUGCCAAGAGUUUUUUUUUAAUAGAAACUAUUGCAAUUCAUAUCAUUAAAAAACUUAAAGACUACAAGUCGAAUAAAAAAUCUUUCCUUAUAAAAGAAUUUGACCAACUCAAAGUACAGUGUUAAAUCCUUGAGAUACAAUGAACCUAAAAAUCCUACUUUGACACACCACAAAUAAUGAAUCUAACUUAACAAUCAAUGGAGAUAAAUCAAUUUUACUAGCAAAAUAUAAGCCAAAACACAAGGCAACGUCUUCACCAAAAUCAAUAUCAUUCAAAUAAUUCCCCUUGUGAACGCCUGAAGCUAUCAUAAAAACAACAAAAAAUAAAAAAAUAAAAACAAGUAGACAAGCAAAAAAAUUCCCCAAUAACAAGUUACCCUACAAAACUUUUCCUUGUAGAACAUACACAGAAACCGCAGCUAUAGGGCUAUCGAAAGUAGGGAUGGCAAUGGGGAGGGGAGGGGAGGGGACCAAUCUCCCCAUACCCAUCCCCGAUAUUUUGCGUAUGUCCCCGUCCCCGUCAGAAUUGCUUGAGAGAAUCUCCAUCCCCUCCCCGAAUAAUAACAGGGGAUCCCCGAGGGUCCCCGGUCUUUGGAAAAGCUAGGAAAGAAAAGGGACGUGAAAAACAAAGGGGGUAGAUUUUUUGAAGGGGAAAGAAAAAGAAACCCUAGAUCUAAAUUUUUCUCUUCUCUCUAUGAAGAACUAAACCUAUUAUUCUGGUUGAAGAUUAAUAAAGCUUUGGUUCAUCAUUACUGUGAGAUCUUUCUUAUGCUUUAAUUGUUUUAUUGCUUUUUGGGUAUUUGUUUAUUCUCUAAAUUAUUGUCAUGAUUAUAUUUGUUAAUUAGAUAAUUGGCCACUAUUUAAUUAUCAACUUAAUCUAUUGUCAAUUAAAAGAUUCAUCGUAUGAAGAUUUUAAUAUUUGUGACAAAUAGCAUAGCAGUGCGUUGUGUUAUGAGAAUAAACAAUCUAAUUUAAAUGAACCAUCGUAUGCGUUUGUUGAUUAGGAUUUGGGUCUCUCUGAUUUUUCAGGUUGUCAAUUAAUUAAAUCCUAUGAUUGUAUCUAGGGUUAUCUAUUAAUUAGGGAAAUAACCAAUGGUCGUACCUUAGUUAUCGACUAGUUAAAGAGAGAUUGGCUAUUAAAGGGUCUCAGUAGCUAGGGAUGGCAAAAAUCCCCACGGGGACGGGCACCCUCGGGGAUUUUCCCCAUUCGGGGAGGGUACGGGGAUAAUUUUAUACCCAAUUUUUUUUUCGGGGAGGGGACGGGGAAAAUUUUUUACCCAAUUUUUUAUUCGGGGAGGGGACGGGGAUGAGGUGGAAUCCCCAUCCCCUACCCAUUUCCCCAUUUUAAUUUUUAUUUUUUAUUUUUAAAAUUACUAAUAAAUAUAUAACAAAAUUAUAAAUAUUGGCAAGAUAUGAGUGGAAUUUUGGGUGUGACAUGUAUAUUUGAUCCAAGGUAUAAAAAGAAGUUCAUUGAAUAAUACUUUUCUUUUUAUUUUUAAAAUUACUAAUAAAUAAAUAACAAAAUUAUAAAUAUUGUUAAAAAUAAUAAAUAUCAAAAUAGUUGUAUGUUGGGAAAGUGGUCACCCCUUACCAGGAAUUAGUGGAAGAGUAUCAAUUGAAGUUUUCACCAAUUGUUUAUUGCUUUGAUUAUACUGGUUGUAGUUCUUCUAUUAGAUCUACAGGGGAUUCUUAUAAGAAAGCAACCAAAUGGAUGACAUGUUUUGAUGAUUAUGUAAACAAUGGAGAUUGUGCAGUUGUUGCAGAUGAAUUAGAUUCAUAUUUGGAUGAAAAAGUUAUACCCCGGAUGGAAGAUUUUAAUAUUUUGAGUUGGUGGAAGACAAAUGCUAAUAGGUAUCCUACAUUAGCUCGAAUUGCUACAGGACGAGCAGGAGGUAAAUAGUUUUAUUAAAAAUAUUAAUUAAGUAUCUACAUUUAUUUCAUUUAUUUUAUUGCCGAUGUAAAAAAUAUUUUUUUUUUCUUUUUAUUGUAGGAUUAUGAAGAUUGAGACAUUGAUAAAGAUAAUUAUUUUAAUAAUUUAUAUUUUGAAUGUGACUUUGUAAUGGAUCAAUAUUAAUGUAAGAUAUAUUUUAAACUUUAUUUUUAUCUGAAUUUUUUAUUUUAAUAUGAUUAAUUUAAAAUCAAAAAUAAAAAAAUGUAUUAGACUAUUAAUUAUUCGGAGACCGGGGACCCUCGGGGAUCCCCUGUUAUUAUUCGGGGAGGGGAUGGGGAUUCUCUCAAGCAAUUCUAACGGGGACGGGGAGGGGACGGGGACAUACGCAAAAUAUCGGGGAUGGGUAUGGGGAGAUUAGUCCCCUCCCCUCUCCUCCCCAUUGCCAUCCCUAGAUUUUUGCCAUCCCUAUCGAAACCUCUACCCACCACUAUUAGAGUUAAAAAAAUCUCUGAUAUGAGUGUAUUCUUCUAAUUUGAACUCUAACGUGAUUUUUUGAGAGAUUCAUUGGAAAAAAACCUUAAGGAGUUAAAGAAGAAAUUUAAAAAAAAAAUCAUAAAAAGAGGAAUGAAAAGAAAAAGAUGCUUUACCAAGAGUUGAUUGACAGUAAUUGGUAAAUUUGAGCAUGCAAUAAAAUUUACCCAUAUAUUCAUAUGACAUAAAAUAUAAUUUUAUUCAUUAAUUACACUACUAAUUUGUCUAAAUUUUAGUUUUUAAAAAAAUAAAUUUCUAUAUAUUUACAUAAAUCUUAGUUUUUAUAAAAAUAAAUUGAAAAAUAAAUUUAUGUUUUUAUAAAAAUAAAUUUAUGUUUAUUUUUUUACAUUGACCUGAAGAAAAGACUAGUACUACUAAGCUGCUGUACGGCCAAGGCGGAUGUACGGUACAGCAGCAAUUUGACUGUUUGGGGGUGGGGUUGAUGGCUUACAUCAAAGUUAGUGUGUGCUAAGGAUUAACAAUAAUAAUGGGGUAAAUAUGAAAUUAAUCCUUGCCCAAGCAUUAGAAGUUCGUCGGUUUUCUUUUAACCGGAUAAUUACCGGUGAAUAUGUCACGCGUUCCUACACGUGGCAGCAUCUAAUUUAUUCGCUUGUCAUUUCAGUUUCUGUUAGUUACAGUUUCUGUAACGUAGCUAGCUCCGUCAGGUACAGGCAUGUUGUAACUUACGUUUCUCGUAAAAAUCAUAUAAGUUCUAUUUCUACCGCUAGGGUGAGCAUGGGUUGAUUUGGAUUAAAUUUUAAGUUAAUUUAAAUUAAAUUAUAAAAAUUUGGGUGUAAUCUAAAUUAAUUUAAAUAUUUUUAACAUAACUCAUGGGUUGGUUAAAUCAAACUAUAAAAAUUUGGUCCAACUCAAAUUAACUCAAAUAUUUUCAACACAACCCAAAGCAACUCAGUUGGAUUUUAUUAAAAUUAUAAUAAUUAUUAAUUGUUUUUAAACCAACCAUUUUGAGUUUGGUUUGGAUUUUAUUAUCAAAAUAUAUUUUUUAUUUUGAGAAAUUUAAUUUUAUCAAAAUUAUAAUAAUUAUUAAUUGUUAUUACUUAUUAAAUUGAUAAUAACAUAUAAAAAUUAUAAUUCAUAAAAAUUAUAAAUAACAAAUUUUACAAUAACUUAAUCCUUAAAUUAAAGAAUACUAGAAAAUUAAAAUAAAGUUUAAUCACAAAAAUCAUUAUUUAUCAAUAAAUAAGAAAAUUCUAAUAAAAAACUUCUACAAGCACGAUAUCGACAAGUAAAUUCAAAGAAAGAAAGAAAGAAAGAAAAGACUAGUACUACUAAGUAUUAACCCUAUUACAACACAAACUCUAACAAUGUCCAUACAAAUAAAAAAAAAUAAGACAUUCUAACUCAAGUGUCAAAGCAAUCCAUCAUAAUCAUUUCCAUCCGUAGUACUUUAAUCGAGAGAUUCCACGAUUAACUGACAAAAUGUAUGACAAUGAUAAUUUACAUUGAUUAUGACAUAAUAGAGAUGGAUUUGUCAAAGCCAAAUCAUUUGCUGGAAAGGAAUUUAGUUGAAGUAGGAACCAAAAUUCAACUUAGAUGGAUCUAUAAAAUUGGUCAUUCAAUACAUAAGUACUUUAUCAACAGAUUCAACACAUUAUAAAUUUAUGGAUUCAACUAAGUUACAACCAGCUGCAACUUAUUCCUCUCACAUAAACAAUAAUACAGCGGUAGGCUAUAUUAUUUACAAAAAGUACUUAUGUAUUGAAUGACCAAUUUUAUUACCUGCAAAAUUAAUUAAUCUUUCACUCUAUCAUCUAACUAAUGGAAGGCAAUCUUAUUUUAGGUUGUAAUGAUUAGAAACUAGCAGGAAGUGGGGGCGAUGCUCCAUAUUAAUUUGGAUAAAUCCCUUUCUAGUGAAGAAGUUAAAAUUAUAAAAUAGAGAUCAAGAUAGAAAUUUAAAGGCCCCGAUUGUUUUUUACAGACUUAAAAAUGAUAUUGAAAAAUUAAAAGCUAAUUUUAGUAUUUAAAAAUUACUUUAAGAAAAAUCACCCUAUCUUCCUGUAAAUUUUGAAAAGCAUGAAAAGAGCAGUUUUUCAAAAAUUGAUUUCGAAAAUUAGUUUCAUACUUAAUACAAUUCCAUAUAUCCUAACAUUUAUUAUAAAAAUUCAAAUUAUCCUUAUUAAAUUAGGAAAUAAAGUCAGUACAUUUAAAUAAGAGUGAUGAUAUAGACACAAACUCUUGUACCAACUGACGUAGCAUUAAUUUAUUAGUUGAAUGAAAAUAUAAAAUAAUAUAAAUAAAUCAUGUGGGCCAAGAAAUAUUUAAUUUAACCAAUUUUAUCAUGUCACAUUAUAAGCAACUUAUAAACUCAUUGGAUUCGACUCUUUACUAAAAUAAAAAUAAAUUAAUAUAUAUAUAUAUAUAUAUAUAUAUUUACAUACAUAAAAUGUGAUUAUAUACACAUAUUUAUAAUUGAAUAUGUACAUAAAUUCUGUAGAUUUAUGUCUAUCUAUACAUUUGCAUUCUUACCACAUUUUAAAAGUGUGAUUUACCAAAUACAUGGGACUUAUUUGAAAUUUAUAGCACUUUUAUAAAUAAAAUUUAUCAAACGUUAAACAGAUUCUCUAUUUUCGCGUAUAUAUCCUCAUGUAAAUUAUAAAAAUUCAAAAUUAUCUUUAUUCAAUUAGGAAAUUAAAUCAUUAUUUUUAAAGAGAUUCUUAUUAUUACUAAUUAGAUUCAAAUAACCAAAAAAAUACAAUCAAUAAAAUAAAAAUAUUUAUUUUAGUUAUCAUUUAUUAUAUACACAUAUUUAUAAAUGCAUGUGUAAAUAAAAUUUUAUAGAUUUAUGUCUAUUUAAGUUAUUUGCAUUCUUACAACAUUUAAAAAAUGAGAUUUACUAAACACAUGUGAUUGUUUUUAAAAAAGUUACAACACUUUUAAAAAUAAAAUUUAACAAAUGUUUAAUUGACUCUCUCCAAAGGUAAUUGUUUUUACAGUAUAGCUAAAGUAAUUUAUAAAUUUAUGAUAAGUAUUUGUGAAUAUUGGUCUAUGUAAAGAAGUAAAAACAACAUAUAUAUUAAGCAGCAUGAUAUUAAAACUCUUAGUAAAAUACAUAUACUAAUAAAAGAAAGACAACAAUGCAAUAAAUAAGCUUAUAAUAUAAAUUAUUAAAAUUGUAUAUUAAAAAAUUAUGCAUGAAAUUCUUUUUCUAUUUUGGUGAUAGAGAAUGCGAUAUAAUUGAAUUAUUUGAUUUAAUAAAAAAAAAAUAUGACUGUGAAGGAAAUUAACAAUUGAAUUGUGGAAUGUUAUUAAUUGUUAUUGUAUCAUUUUGCAACGUUCUAAUAAUAUGGACAAUGUUACAGUAUAUUGAUGGGCGGUAAUAUUUUCACCUCUUAAAUUGUGUAAAGUCAGCUCCAUUUAAAAAAAUUAUAUAUAAAAAGCCCAUUAGUUUUAAUAGUUUCAAAUUAAGAUUAAAUGCAAAUAAUUAACCAAUUAAAUCCUUAUUAAUAAGAUCAUUGAGCUUUAAUUAAACUAAUAAAAUGCAUUUGAUAAAUGAAAUUUACGAUAUUUAAUUACAUGAAAUUUAUUGACUACAUGAAUAAUAUAAUUGUUCAGCUGUUUAAACUUUUUCCCUAUUUAAAUUUUAAAAAACAAUGUGAAAUUUUGUAAAUAGUUCUUUGAAAUGGGGUGGAUUUACACCAUUUGUGCAGUGCAAAUAUCCUAAUUCUAACAUUUUUUUUAAAAAAAAAGACCAAAUCAUAACAUUUUUUGUAUACUAAGUUAAAGUAGUACUAACAUUAUAGCCCCCUAAUGAUUUCAAUUCAUUCAAUGAAUAUAUAAUUUAAGCAUGUUAUAAACUAAGUCUCUAAAUCGAAUUAAAAAAAGAAAAAAGAGCUUAAUUGCUGACAUAGUUGAAAAUAAAAUAAAAAAUUUUAUUAUUAGAUGAAAAAUUAUGAAACUUAAGGGGUAUAAGCGAGUCGGCAGCUGCUCACCAGGGCAUAUGUAAUAUUUGUUAAUACAUUUCAAAAUUUUAGGUUUUUUAAUAAUAUUUUCAAUACAUUUUCUAGAAGGUUUAGAAAAAAAAAAUGACUCAAUACUUUAAUCGAGCUAUGAAUAAACUCAUGUGUUAAAAAAUUUCAUAUUUACACCCAAUAAGAUUAAUUAAUGGGUGAUACAAAUUUAAGAUAGUUAAUAAUAAUAUAUAUCAUCUUAAGUUAACUUCAACUCAUUAACCUUGUAUAAGGUUUGAUGGGUCGUGCCGCAAAUUAUCACCUCUAAUCCUUUUUGCAACAGGCAUGAUGAAUGCUAACAAAAUGAAACUUCUAUAUAUUUAGUUGUUAUUCUUUUUAAUGAAAUAAUAAGGAGCUUUGCUGCAAAUUUCCAUCCAGCAUGGCAUGGACGCACGUGAAAUUUGCUAGUAUGGUCCUGGACAUGCGUGGCUGAGAUGCUUCUAAAGGCAAAGAAUUCCAAGUUCAUACCAAAUAUAACUUUCUGAUAUUUUUGUGGUAUCAAGUUUGUUUUUCACAAACUAAGGUGUCGGCGUAAAGUUGUUGUCCAUGCAAUGAAGUUUUAUACAUAAAUAUAUUAACCUAAAUUGUUACUAAAGUUCCAUAAUUAGCAGUUCCUGAGAGUUUUUACUAUAUAUUUUUUUGUUUUAAUUCAACAUAUGUUUAUUUAAUACGAUUUUAUUAAAUAAAUGUGCAUAUUUACCAUAUUUGUCUACGAUCAAUUAGUUGGAAAAAAAAAAGAAAAUUAAUAAAUUUAUUUAUUUGAUUGUUAAUGGUUUAGGCAUUUGAAUUCCCACAAAGUCAGGGUGUCAGCUCUGGACUUCUGGUGAUGUAUUUUUCUAAUAAAGAAAUAAAAUAUUGUUGUCAUUUUUUUAAUAUUCUAAUUUACCAAGCCUACCAACCAAUUAAUUUUUCUAAUUAGAUCAUUAAUUCAUUACACGUGCAUUCGCUGGCCCAGUGCUCCAAUCCCAUGCAUGCUGCACAACUCAAUGUGUUUUAAUAAGAAAAGGUUUGGUUAGCCUGUGCUGAUGCCAGAAGCCCCUUAAGGAGUUCAGGUAAACGUAAAUAUGUCCAGAUUUAGAUUUGAAUAUGUAAACGUAAAUAGGUCCAGAUUCAGAUUCGUUGCGCUAGAGAGGGGCACGCACGAUCGGGCUGCUGUCAGGUGGUACGUUGGCGUGGCAAUUCUCAACACGCGCUUCUCCUGGUGCAUACUUACGGCAAGUUGACACGUGACCCGUGUGGAUUGAGUGGACAGAGUCACGGGCACUGAUUUUUGUCAUCCAUAACGACUAACGUCGGAGACUUCGAGAAGAAAGAAAUUGUUGUCGUUUCUAAGGGGAAAAAAAUAUUUAAUUUGUUGAAGACAAAUUAACGUCGGAGAUUUUUUUUAUUUUUUAUUUUUAAUUUUGCAAUCUAAACCAGUCUAAUCAAAAUGUCAAUUUGACAAAAGUUGGACUGAUUUAGAUUAGUUCUAUUAGUUUGAUUGGAUUAAAUUGAAUUAGAUCUUGAACAUCCUAACACUUUUCAUGAAUGUUUUCCUUUUUUUUUGAAAAAAAUUAAUAAGGAGAAUUCCCAUGAAUGUUAAUUUUAUUGAUAAACUUGGCAAUUUUAAGAAAUGUUUUGACGCACGAAUAAUGCAAUUCAUCAACCCACAUAGAUAUGGAUAUAGGAAGCAGAGACCAGAUCGAUCUUGACAUAACGAAAACUUGUAUGUGUAUAUGUAUGUUACAGACCAGAUCGAUCUGUAGCAUAGACUUCUCCUAUAUGUAGGUUAUAUUCAAAUUACAAAAUGAACACAUGUUAAGGAUCUACAACUUCUUCUUUAAUCUAAUAAGCUCCCUCAACUUUAUUCCAAAACAAAAAAGAAUCAAAUUUUUGUUGGAAAUAUUUAUGAAUGAAGAAGCAAAAAGCGCUUGUAUCAAGGAUCUAAUUAAAGAACUGCCAGAGGCAUAGAUCUAUCAAAGCUCCCUCGCAUGACUCUUGGUCUCGGUGGCUUCUUCUUCUUCAUUCCGAAUUUUCCCUCCAUCUGAUCUCUUCCAACCUUUCCAUUUCCAAAUUGAAUUGAAACUUGCCUCAUAUUCGUUUGUUGAAUCCCAUCUUUUGUUGCACCACCAUGCAUCAAAAUCCUUGAAAUCCCAGCAUAAUGCAAGGACUCAGCUAUUUGCAAUGGGGUCACGUUCUUACUUGUCCUUGCCUCAACAUCAGCUCCCUUCUUCACAAGCAAUUCAGUCACAUCUGUGUGGCCAGAUUCCACCGCACAAUGCAAAGCUGUGUACCCAUCUUCAUCUUUAGCAUCAACAUCAAUCCCUUUAUCAAUCAGAAUCCUCACAACCUCAAUCUUUCCCUUAAACGAAGCCCUAUGCAAAGCAGUCCAUCCAUGUAGGUCUUUCCCAUUGAUCGCGGCGCCUGCUUCGAUCAACCUCUGCAUUGUCCUCACUUCCCCUUUCCUAGCGGCAAUACACAGGCUGUCACCAAGCUUCAACGCGUCAAAGAGACGGGAGUGACCGCACUCAGCAGCAACAUCAUAAGCGGUCUUUCCGCUCUUGUUUCUAAUAUAUUUAUUAGCACCCUUCUGCAAUAACAGCUUCACCAUUUGCUCAUAUCCCAAGCUUGCGGCGAUAUGCAAAGGCGUGUCACCGUCUCUAGCGUUGCGUAUAUCAGGCCUUGCUCCGUUUGCUAACAGAAGUCUCGCGCAAUCUCUUCUUCUGUCUUCAACCGCGAGAUGCAGAGCUGUGUUACCAUCUUUUGUUAAAGCAUUGACAUUAGCACCUUUGAUUAAGAGAAGCUUUAGUACUUCCAAAUGGCCGCCUCGUAAGGCCAAGUGUAUGGGCCCCCAUGUUGAUGUUCCUGAUCUUUCUGUGCUGGCUUUCCUCGCCAACAAGAGCUCAACAAUAAGUGCUUCCCCUGCAGCCGCCGCGGCUUCAAGUGGAGUACUGCAGCCACACCUGCCUUGAGACUCAACAUCCGGCCCAAACUCAAGCAAAAGUUGAACAAUAUCAGGCCUCCUUUGAGCUAUAGCAAUAUGAAGCAACGUUUGUCCCUGCGCAUCGGCAGAAUCAGCCGGGUUCCAAGCCGGGUCACUCCGCUCAAGAACCUCUCUUAAAUCAUCCAUUUCACCAUCCUUAACAAGCAGAACCAAAACAGGAGACCCAACGAACAUGAUCUUGAUUCCGCUGUCGAUGAACACUUGCUUCUUCCUCGUUGUGAACCAGUCACUGGGGACGGAAUCAAGCGUCGACGUUGCAUCUUUAAUUCCAGCUCCAGGAACAACAACGCUGUGCAAGAGGAAGGAAUCAUCACAGUGAGGGAAAGAAUCAGGAAGAACCGAUCCUGGAGGGAGAUGAUACGCAAUCUCUACGCUUAGUGUUGCGAGUGGUGAUAUGAUUCCUGAUUGCGGCUUCACAGUAUAACGAGCCUUGUUUGUAGGCUGAAUCCUGAAAGCAACAGGCAUCGUGUGCAUGACAUUGCGGAGAGUCAGCUCCCCGGAACAUUUCUGCCCUGGUUCAAUUCUGAUAGCUACAAGGUUCGACGGCUCCAAGCUUACAAGCCUAUCCAUUGAUUAAUUUUCUCUCCGUUUCCCAAGGACUGCUGAAAGGGGUUCUUUGAACUUUUUGAUUCAGGCUUAUUUUCUUCACUUUUGGUGGCAUGGGGAGGAAUUAGAGGAGUAACUGUAAGAGCUGCAAGUGUUGGUGUAAUCAACUGUAAUAUAAGGAGAAGAGAGGGCCGGCUCUAAUGGGAGACUGCCACGUGGUGGUGUUAAAAACAAUGAGACUUGUUCUGUUCGGCGUCCGGAGUGUAUAUACAGUUGUGUUAGUGGUGAAAGUUAAAGAAAUCCUGAAGUUAUUUUCGGAGUGGCUUCUGCAAAGUCACUUUCAGGAUUGUAUUGUAUCAUUAAAAAACAAAGCCAGUUUUUGUUGUUCUAGUAAAAGGCGAAUCAUUGGACAAACUCGUAAGAAUAUGUUGCCAAAUGUAUAAAAUAUGAAAUUCAAACAAUGAUUACAAUGUGAAAUUGGACAAUGGACAUGGCCUGUGUGAAUUGUUUUGUGGGCUUACUAAUUAAAUUAAUUCACUAAAAAUAAUGUCACUUUUGUGUCUGUGAAGAAGCCGAAAUGGCACAGUCAUUUACGUGGCCAACUACGGUGACUACUUCGUCAGUAGCUGCUCGAGCACUUGGUCAGCACAAGUUGCUUUCUUUCUUGGCGGGAUUAGUUUUUCUUCAUUGCUUUAAGUGGUGCAUUUCUGCAGUUUCAUUUUGCUUUGCUUAUGCCAUUGGAUUUGUGCCCCAUAAAUAAAUAUAUAAUUAAGCGGAAAAGUAUCAAAUUUUGAAAAAGCUUAGGUUUUGUGUGUGUGUGUGUGUGUGUGUGUGUGUGUGUUUUAAGCCGAAUUACUCGGCUAAAAAUUAAUCCGAUUAUUAUUGUUUUGGUGCUUAAGAUGUGACUCUAACCUAAAGCUCAUUUGAACUCUCUUGAUGCUCAUAUGGUAUUUUUUGUGUUGUGUCGUGCUGGCCCUUACACAUCUCGGCUCAUAUUUUUCAUGUUACUAAGUUCUAAUAUGUACAAAAGAAAUAGAGCAAUGUCCGGUGGUAGAUCCAAACACUCAAUUUGGGGUGCUUAUUUUUCAGUCUCAAAUUCGAUUAUUUUCUUUUAAAAUAUUAAAAUAAUAGUAAUAAAAUACUUAUUUUAAAUACUGAGCUCAUUACAACCACAUAUGUAAAAGUAUCAUUUAUAUUUUUUUUCUAAAUAAUCUUCACAAAAUAUUUUAAAAAAUAAAAUUAUGUGACUAUGGGGAUUUGAACCAAGUCUCUCAAACUACUAAAUAACACUUUUACCACUAAAUUACAAAUCUUUUAACAUAUUAAAAGUGCAUCCAAAUUAUUAUUAUUAUUUAAUUAUUUCAUAAGAGAUUUGGGGCACAUUUAAAAGAAAAAAAAUUAAUGGUGCAUAAAGGACUAAAGCCUCUCUUGAGUCCUUGACCUUAACUAGGUCCACCCAUGGUAAUGUCAGUGAUACCCAACUUGAAAAAUAUACAAGAAACUUGGAAAUUUAAAUUAAUGAAUAAAUAAAUAAAUAAAAGGAAACUUAGUGAUUGUAGCUGUUGUAUUGUAUUGUGGAUCAAAGAAUUACAAGUUCUUGGUUUCUCGGUAUUGGCUAAUUUUGAAGUUAAAUGAAGUUCGAAAAUAUUUACAAGCAAUAAAAUUAUCAACUGAAUGAGACAAGGAAAGAGUAUAAAGACCUUAGCAAAUUAGCAAUCCUUCUUUAAUUUAGUAACAGUGACGCUUAUAAAGUUAGAAGACGUAUCAAAUCUAAUUUAGAUUUUGCCCCAUAAAACUAACUUAACUUAUAGUGCGUCUUUGUUUAAUUAGUAAAUAUUCCACAAAAACUGAUCAGCACUUUAUAGGAAAUUCCAAACACGUUUAUAUUCACAAGGAAUAUGUCAAGGAGAAAUGAGAAUAAAAAAAUGUAAAAACUAAUAAAGCUUCAUUAAUUAGAAUUUAUAACCAUAUGUGCUCCUAUACUACUUUUAUUAUUAAGAAUUUGAAGUAGAAGGUAGUUGAUUAUCAUGAAAUUACAAAAUUGUAAACGGAUUUGUUCUUUUGGAAAAAGAAAAAAAAAAAAAAAGGAAGGAUAGUUGAUUACUUGAUUAGUGAGAAAUCAUACGUAUAAAGGACAAAUUGAAAAAUGGGACCUGAAUUGCAACAAAGCUUCAUUGGAAUUAACUGCCGAUAAAAUUAAAUUAGUAUCACCCUACCCUUUCAUCUUAAUAUAUUCGAAAUUUCACCGAUCAAAGUUUCUAGCUUCGAUUUUUACGAUCUCUCAUCCUAAUAACACCAAAAGCAUAUUCAUUCGUUUGUAAGAUUAUGUAACAAAAUAUAGUAAAUAGCCUAUAAUUUUUUUGUUUUACUACUAACCUGUUAUCAUUCUUUUCUAAUAAUACAUGUUAAAAUAUUCACAGAAAAAAUUUAUCCCUAUUACACCCAACCACCUUUUUUUGUGUUUUUUUUGUUCAAAUUUUAGCAUUAAAGGGACAAUAAUGUCCUAUGAAAUAUGCAGAAAGACAGUUAAUAAUAUUCAAAAAUGUAAGUGGAGGUAUCUUACGCCACACACACAAAUUACACGACUCUCAUUAAUGUGUUGUUGUUGUUAUGUGUGGCGUAAGUUACAGUUGAAUGUCAUAUUCAAAAAAGUAAGUGGAGGUAUCAAUCUCCCUAAAUAAAUAAUUUAUGGAAGGUUGUUAGCUGUUGUACUUUUAGUUAAUUUUAAAAUCACAAUAAUAUGGUUAAUGUUAAGUUACAUGCAUGUAACUUAGGAGGAUCCCAAUAAUAUACCAUAUUUUAUUAAUAUGUACAGUAUUUAUAAUAUUUAAAAAUUAAGGAAUUAAUGUACGCAUGUAAAAGCUGCAUUGGAGCCAGUUGGAAAUCUUACUGUCUUGAUAUAUGCAACGAUUGUAGCAGCUAAAAAGGCAUGAUAUUUACUUAAUAUUAUUUCAAACAAUAAUUAUUUAUUUAAAGCAAAUAAUAAUAAUGAGGGCAGAAGGACUAUUCUAGGAUCAAUAUGGUGACAGUAUAAAUAAAUAAUAUUAAUUAUUAAUGCAUUGAUGAGUAUUGUUAAAAUGACAUAAUAGGUUUGUUUCAUUGAAUUGAACCUUUUCUCUUAAAAUAGCUAUAAUUUGUUCUCUCUCUCUCUGUGUUUUUGUUUUUGUUUUUCACUUUAGUUUUACUUCUCUUAAAAAACCAAAAAAAAAAAAACAAAAUUAAUGGAAACUGAUGAUGGGAAGACGGACAAUUUUCUAUAUUGUUAAAUAGAAAUGGGCACAAAUGUGAGUUUUUUGGGGCAAAAAAAUAUAGUCAAUGUACGUAGCGUUUGUCUAUUUGAAAACCCGUCAAUAUAAAAACAGGACGUAAAGCUUUCAGACAAAGUACUCUUAUGGCCGUACUUUCCAUAAACCAAAUCAAAAGAAGGAAAAUAUUUGUGUCUGGCUUCGAUGCGACUGUUAACAUUCACAAAUAAACACCUUUGCAUGGUCAGAAAAAUUAACAAGAAAUUAGAAGGCGAUGUUGCGUUCUACUUAGUUCUCUAGGAUUUGUGUCAUUUGUUUAUGCUACGGUUCGUUCCCAUUUGCAUUGCGUGGAAUAAUUGGCCGAAUAUUAUUAAUCUCAAUCUUAAUCUCUCAACUCUUGUCCCUUUAAUUUUUGUUUGUAUCUUUUUCUUUUUUUUUUUAAAUAUCACAUACAAUGCUUUUAAUAAAUAACUUCAUAGAAAUAUUUAAUAAAAUCCAACAUAUAUAAGUUCAAGAAACUCAAAAAAUAAAAGAAAAUAAACUCACGUUGUCACUGGAGAGACUCAAACAUGCUACCUUAAAAUUAAGUAGAGGGUGCAACUACUUGCACUUUAAAAAAAGAAAAGAAAAAAAAAGGGGCUUUGAACGCUCGUGAUAAUUUGCAAGUUAUGGAGGAUAAUCAUUGUACAAUGGGGAGAACUCUUAUGGAACAAUAUUCAAACUGAUAUUGAAAGCAUAUAAGAAUUUGGCUUGGGUGUUUUGGUGCCAUGAAUGAGUGCAGAAACAAAGAGGAAGCUUUGUCCCUUUAAUUUGAUCUGCUGUAUUAUAAUUAUUGAGAUUAAUCAAAUAAAUAACCGAAACAUGGUUACAGUUUUAUAGUGUAUUGCAAGUCUUUGGAGAUACUAUGUACCUCAAAAAAAAAUAUCGUAUAAAAGAGUGUUUUGUUUCACAGGGGUUCAAUGAGAUUUGAGAUGGCUGUAAUGAAAGUGAUGUAAAUUUUUUGGACUCUAAUGAGGUGUUUUUAGAUGGAGGGGGAUUUACAAGUAUUUUAUAGGGGUGAUAAAUGACUGUAUACCCACCAAAAAGGCCCAUUGUUCGAGUCCAUGAGCAUUACAGUUUUUUUUUUUUUUUUUUUUGAAAUUCAGAACAUGCAGUUUGUUUGAUUCAACUUCCGAAUUACAAAAUUAGAAUAAGAAAAAAAAAUGUGGAUGUUUUUUCUUUAAUUUACAUAAUAAUACAUGGUGUGGACGAUGUCUAUUGAGGGAUAAAAGAGGAAUGGGGGCACUGUGAAGUUUGUGUUUUUGUUUUUUUUAAAUUAUCAUAUUCAUACUGUCUAUAAAAAUAUGCAAGUUAAAAAAUUACUCAUGAUAUUGUUGUUUUUGUUUCAUAUAAUACUACUUAUGCACAUCGCCUCAUGCAAACAUUUCUUAGUUAUGCUUAAAAAAAUGAGAUUCUCACCAUGGGUCACUGUAAAAAUCCACAGAAGCCGUGGAUCACAGUAGGAAGCCCACUUGAACAGAAGAAGCUACCGAAAGCUUCGACAUUGUAUUUAUGAAAUGCUUAGUAAAUUUUGUUUUAUUUUGAAUUUAUAUUAUAAAUGGUGUGUUGCUAAAUUAAAAAAUAAAAAAGAAAUGCAAUGUGUCAAAAUACAAGAAUCUUACGGACAUUUUUGUCACAAUAUAUGUAAAUAAUUCAUAUCUUAUUCAUAUCCUAUGUAAGCUUCACUUGUUUAACACAAUGGUGGUUGAAUCUUCAAAAAUUCAUAAUCUUAAACAACCAAAUUUGGAAUUAAUUAAGCAAAUUGCCUCUAUAAAUUGAUUACAACAACCAACGACGUGUGAAGCCACAUGUCAAUUUCCCUAGACAGCCCAAAUAUUGAGGCGCUGUGAGGGAGCAAGGUGCAAUCGGAUGGGGGAAAGAGAGAGAGCCAAUGGUGAGAAUGGAUCGUGGUGAGGGAGAACCAACUGGUGGUGAGAUUUGUGGCUUCAAUGAGGUGAGUUUCGUGGCGCUGUGAGUGAAGUGAGAUUUGGCAUGAGUGUGAGGGAGAAUGCGUGUGUUGUGUGAGUGAGGUAAGCUGUGUCUGUUGUGUGCAUGGAGACUCUCACCACAAUUAGAAUUUAUAGUUAGCACAGAACGAAACACAAUAUUCUACGCUAACUGUGGAGUUAACCAUGGUGAGAAUAUCAUUAUUGUUUAUUAUAACACUUUUUUUUUUAAUUUGUUUUGACAAUAAAAUAAAGAACCUUGUAAGAAAACCUCAAUAACUCAAUUAAAAAACCAACUCAACCGAUGAUAGGUAAAUUGAGAAAUUUUCAACUAAAAAUUAUUAAGAUUGGUUUUAACUUCAAAUCAUAGUCACAUAGUUUUGUCCUUAUAAAGAUCAAAAUAAUGAAUUCUAACUCCGAAGUUUUUAGAUUUAUGUGACGAACUGACGAUAGUAUAUUGAAAUCGAUUGAAAUGAAAAAUUUAAUUAAAUGCAAUUCAAGAUGUAGUAUCAAAUUCAAACGAUUCGGAUUGUUUUAAAAAUUUCAAUGCUUUAAUCUAAAUCGAUUAAUCAAUUACACUCUUGCAAUUAUAUACCGUUAAAACUAAAAUAUGUAAAAUUUAGGGUGCAUUUAUUACCAUUUUCAAUUUGUUGUUUUUCGUUUUAUGAAAAGGAAAAUACAGAAAACUUGUUUGGUGAGCUCAUAUUGGUGGAAAACUGUACAGUGAUUAAAAACAAAAAAAAAUUCAUUUUUCAAUGUUUACAAAGGAAACAAGAAAACGCUAUUACACUGGGUUCUCUAUUUUAUUUCACUUUUACUCUCUGCCAAGGCCCUACCAUCUUAACUUUUAUAACAUGGUGUAAUAAAUUACGUGGGCCCAUUUAAUAAAGAAAUAAUCUAAUAAAUAAAUUAUUAUAACAAAUAUUUAAAAAUAAUAGCAUUCCAUACCUUACAGCUUAAUUACUUAAUAUAUUACCCAAAUUAUUUUAAAUAAAAAGUGAUAUCAUAUAAUUAUUAUACUAAAUUAUUACAUUGUUCGACCAAUAUGCAGUUAUUUAAAAAUUACUACAAACUUUCUUACAUAUAUUAAUGAAAAUAUAUCAAUAAUAAAGUUACAUCUUGACAGUUAAUAUAAAUAAAUAUAUGAUAAUUAUGAAAUAAUUAAAGAUUUUCUCAAUUAAUAUUAUCUUAUAACUACAAUUUAUUUACAUAAUUAAAAGUUUUUAAGAAAUUAUUAAAAUAUCUUCAAACCUAUAUGCAUUUAUAAUAAUAUAUAAUACAUCAUAAUAUAAUAACUAAAUAGAUAAAUUAUUUAUUAAUAUAAAAUAUAUGUUUAUAUUCAUUAUAUAAUAUUAUUCUUUCAUAGUAGUUUCAUUAAAUAAUUCUCUACUCUCUCUCUUUUUAUCUUUAUUUUUUCGGACAGACAAGUAACCAAACACCGCUUCACCUUUUUUUUAUUUUCAAAUACUAUUCUUAAAAUAAACUACCAAACAUAUUUUUAUUUUUAACAAAAACUAAUCAUUUUUAUUUUAUAAAACAAAUUGAAAAGUACUAUUUAAAAUAUAAUACCAAACUUACCCUUAAUAAUUUUAUAUUUGUCAAAAAGAUGAGAAGCUAAGUGGCACUAUCGUUUACCUAUUCAAACUAAACGUGGAGUCACAAUAUUGAAGACACUUUGGUGGCCACAACACUCUUUUCUUUAGUACGGAACAAUCUGGCUUACAUGACACUACAUAAAAAUAAAUAAUAAAAAAUCACCGAUUCCAACUGCCCCGGACAAAAAACAGGCCACACGUAAAAAGGCUUCUAUUUUUAUUUUUAUUUCUCCCCAUUUUAAAGAUGACGUCAUGGUGAUUAUGAAACCAGAAAAUAACAAAUUUUAGUUGUCUGAUUUUGUAGUUAUCCAGCGAAAACUAAAAAAACAGUGAACGCAGCAGCAGAUCUCCGUGUUUGUCGUCGUUCGAUGAGAGAUUCCGAUUCGUGAGCAUCGCAAGUGUUGAAAUGGAAUCAGACGAAAUGAGGAGUUAGCCUCUUAUUAUAUAAUAAUAAUAAUGAUAAUAAUAAUAAUAACUAAUCUCUUUUAUCAUAUAAUUGAUAAUGGAAAUUCACAUUGACAAAAGGCAAAUUACACACUGACUGGGCAGAAUAAAAAACAGUCUCUCUCAAAAGCAAUAAUUUAAACACUAACACCACCUUAAGGAGACACCCCAAAAAUAAAGCAGCAAGCUCUUACUGUGACCACACACACACACACACACCAAACUUUUAUUAUAGAAUAAAUCUAAGAUGAUGGAUGAUGGAUGCGUCACAUAAAAGUUAAUUAAUUUAAUCGCUGUCACUGCUGCUGCUGCUCUCGUGUCCGUCCUCGUGCUUCUUCUUCUUCUCCUUCUUUUUCUUCUUCUCUUCACCGUGGGCGGCGCCCUCGCCGCCGCCGACACCGGGGAUCUUCUGCUUGAUCUUGUCCACCAAGCCCUCCUUGUGUUCGCCCUCCUUGUGUUCCCCGCCGUGAUGCUGCUGCUGAUGGUGAACAUCAGUAGUGCCGACACCGGGGAUCUGCUGCUUGAUCUUGUCCACCAAGCCCUCCUUGUGUUCGCCGCCGUGAUACUGCUGCUGAUGGUGGACAUCAGUAGUGUGGUGGUCCCCACUAUGGUGCUCUCCCUUGUGCUUGUCCUCCUCCUUUUGCCCUCCUCCCAUGUGAAGGGCUUCUCCGAUCUUGUGAAUAACUCCUGACAUUUUCCCUUAAAAUGACUCUGUUCCUCUUCUUUUCUUUUCAAUGAAAAAUAGUUGUUUGCGAUCUUCUUCUGGUUGUUGUUGUUCUUGUUGGGUGAUCUUGGCUUGGUAUUUAUAGGCUCCAAAAGGAGGGACUAGAAUUAGGAUUAGAUUAUAGAUUAUUUUAAUACAUUUUAUGGCAAAUUCUGAUUUGGAAAGAUAAGAUUAUCCUUUUGGUUUUCCUUAUUUACCCUUUUGCACCCAUUACGUGUACGCGUCUUCGUGGGCUUUUUGGGUAUUUCAAUUAUAUCGCCAAUGCUAAAUCGACACGUUGCAUAUCAGCCGCGGUACUGCCGUAUGUAGUUGUCCAGAAAUCGAGUCGAUUCUCGAUCGUACAAUAAUUAAAUAAUAUUUCAUACGAAAUGAGUUUAGAUAUAUUUUGAAAAUUUAUUUUUAAUUUAAUUAUACGUGUUAUAUAUUUGUUAAUCGAAUAGAGGUCCCACGUAACAGAGUGUUUCUCUAAUCUUUCAUUGCUUUUAAUUAAUUUUACCCAAAUAAAAAAAAAAAGGAAAAUUUAGAGAGAGAGAGAGAGAUAGCGAAUUAGAAGUUGAUUGUAAUAUCGACACCUGUCAGACAAUCAAAUAUCGUUAGUUAAAAAUCAGUUGUCCAUAGUCAUGGUCAUAGAUGGCGAAAUUGAUACUUAUUUUAAAAAACAAAACAAAACAAAACGAAACGAAACUAAACUAACAGAUGUUGAAAUGCAGUUCCGUGUUAACAGUCUGUGAUGAAUCUUUAUCUUUGAGUAUACCAUUCAAGAAAUUAUCAUUCAAAAAUUUAUUUAAAGCAGCAGCAAAUCACCUUCUAAUUCCUGAAUCAAAUUAAUUCGAUUUUUUUCGAGUCGAUCAAUUCAUUAGAGAAUUAACGGGCUAAGUUAAAGUUUUGUUAGUUAUUUUUUUUUAUAUUCCUUUAGAUGAUAUGAUUGUCAUUGUCUUUCUUUCUCUGGGCAACAAUAAAUACAAGAUGUGCAAAAGCGUAGUGGAACAUAAUUCGAUUAUGGGUAAAGGGAUCAGUCCGCAUAAUGAGGAUAAAGUUUUUCUCUUUAAAAAAAUUUAACCCAAAGAAAAGGUCGUAGUUUGUAAUAGCCGACACGCAGAUAGAUCACAAAGCAUGGCGGUCCUGAUGGCAAUAACUAACUGAUAUCUUCUGCGAUGAGAGGAGAUCACGUGGUUCUGACACGUAUCGCCCCAUCAACUGAUGUUGUGGCUGCAAUCGCGGCCCAGUCUUUAGAGAGAAGAAAGAUCUGUUAUAACGGGACCUACUUUAGCAUCUAUUUACGACAAAGCCCCUAUUUACUCUACUUAGUAGUAAUAAUAGCAAGUGUCGGGCUUGGAUUCCGUGUUGCUUUAAAUAAAUAUCCGCGUAAAAAGAAAAUGCUUCUUUAAUCCCUUCCUUGUAAUUUUUCGACACGUGGAUGGUUGAAAUUAGCGUGCCGACAUCUUAGGAAUUUUAUCUUGGAGACGGGAACACUGCAGUAGGCAAUGCCAUUUUCUUCGGAUGGUGUGUGGUGACAACGCCUUGGAUUUUGACGUGCAAAGAAUUUAAAUUGAAAAAGAAAAAAAGAAAUUACCAGAAUAAGCAUAGAAGAGAUAUUUUUCUUUUUGUCCUUUUUGGAAUGGAAAAAGAGAUCAAGAGAUUGUUCCAGUAAGUAUUACACAUGUCACAGGCUUAUUCAUGCCCCAUUAUGGCAACUUUUAUGCCUCGCGGUGCCCUCGGUUCCAGCAUAAUAGCUAAGACUUCAAUUUUUCUAACAUAUUUUUGUUACAAAUAUGAACGGAGUAAAUGUAUAACUUUAAUCCUUUGAAUAAAGAAAUGGCGGUUCUCCUGCUCGUUAAUCUCACUUGAAUCCCACCCAGGCAAAAUUUCUUUAUUUUAUUUAACAACAAUUUAAAGAAAGAAACUUUUGCCAGGUUGAAUUUCAAGUGAGAUUCAUUCGUGGGAGAAGUGCCAUUUCUUUAUUCAAAAGAUUAUGGUAAUUACAACUUUCAAUUUCGACAUAAAUUAAAAUUAUAGGCUAUACAAUAAAAUUGCCCUAAAUUAGUCCUAAUCAAUUCAGAUUAUAAAUUUAGGUAUAUUUAUUAUUUUAAUAUAUUAAUGUUCUAUAUAUAUAUAUAUAUAUAUAUAUAUAUGUGUGUGUGUGUGUGUAUNNNNNNNNNNNNNNNNNNNNNNNNNNNNNNNNNNNNNNNNNNNNNNNNNNNNNNNNNNNNNNNNNNNNNNNNNNNNNNNNNNNNNNNNNNNNNNNNNNNNNNNNNNNNACAGCAGAAAAUAUUUGCUAUGGAUAAGGAGACAUGGUCCCACGUCCCACCGUCCCAAUGCAUAUUUUGUAUGUUUCCAUCUUUUCUGAAAUUUUAAUAAAUAAAGUUUUUUGACCACUUGGCCAAAGAACCUUACCCUUACACAACUUUGUGGUUGGAGUCCUGUGAUACAUGUAAGAACUUAUUUUUUUUCUUAAUUAUAAUAUUUUAGAAUAUAAUUAAGUGAAGUAGGUUUUUUUUUUAAAUAUGAGUAAAAUAGAUAUUUUUUAAAUAUUAAAGAGAGUAAAAUUUGAAUAAUAAUAUAUUAAAAUUAAUACAAACUAAUUUUAAUAAUUAUUUAAUUAUAAAUAUCAAUUAUAACAUCAUAUAAUAUCAAUUAUAAUAUCGUACAUCUCAAUUAAUUCAAUAAUAAUAAUAAUAAAUGUUUUUUGGGAUAAGUAAACAGUCGCAUGGCGACAAUAGUGGAUCUGGAUUAGAGUGAAGUGGUCCCAAGAGGCUGAGGCUGUGGCUGUGGAGUUCUAAAAGUCAAAAGCUCCACGCACUUUGUUUCAGUACCAUACACACUGAAAAAAUUUGCAUUUGCAAUGACGAAAACUUUUCACGAAAUCAAAACACCUCUAAACUAUUUUGUUAUCGAUAUUUAAUGGAGGGGUUUCCUACCUUUUUAACACUCGAUUCACGCCUUGACGCAUCUCACAGAAAACCUCAUGAUCCCAUUAAUCUUGCGUAACAUAUCUCAAAGCCAAUGCAAGUGAUCUUGUUGCCUACUUCCCUUUGACGAUUCAAAAUUGUUGAAAAUAAUUCUUUUUUUUUUUAACCUCAAGGAAGUGACAAAAUAUAAAAGAAUAUUUUCUACACAUUAAACAUCUAGAUUUUUUUUUCUUUUCUUUUUAGAGUACUUGCACAAACCGUUUCCAAGAGAGACCUUUUUUUUUUUUUUUUUUUUCCGGGCUUGGUUACUAAUUUGGUGUGAAUACUCUAUGGUGAAAAAGGAAUCACAAAGCUGUAAUCAAUUUUUUUGCAUCAUUUAGUUGUAACUUGAACAUUGGGAGGUUUAUAAAGAAUUAAAUUAAUUAUAAUGCCUCUACUAGGAAAAGUUCAGAGUAGCCCUUCACAACUUUUUAAAGGCUUAAUAAUUUUCGCUUUCUUCCUCUCAUAACAUAACAAAAAAUUAAGAGCUUUACUCGUACACGUCCUAUGGCUAUAUAGUAUUGGGUUCUCUACUUCAAUCGGCUAUCUCAAACCGAAGGUUAUUUGGACACACCAGCAGUCACGUUUGGAAACUCUCAAAUGCUUGGAUUGUAAUUCUUGUGGAUGAGAUCAUCUAAAUCUUGGGCCCAAGCCGGACAAUGGGUGGACAAAGAACCCUAAAAUACAGUAAAGCUUCUAACACCCCACUAAAACUCUUAAGAAAUCCUACCUUUUAUUUUUAUAUCUCUUUCUUUUAGAAAUUAUAGAGAAGACAUAGCAUUUUAAUUAUUUUCCCUGCCAUUGAAAAUAAAUUCUGUAAACAUAUUUUUUCAUAAUAAAAUUAUUGUUAUUAGAUAAUUUAUUUCUUCAUUGUUUCAAAAUUAUUAUAAUUUUAUCAACAAAAUUAGUUAUGUCAUAUAUUAGGAUUAAAAUUAAUUAGGAUCCAUAACUUGUAAAGACAUUUUAGUUUAAUUGAAUUCAUAUUUGUCAUUUUAUGUAAUUUUCAAUAAAAAUACGACUAUGAGUGCAAAAGUGGGAUGACAUAAUAUUAAAAGAGUGUGAAAUAAUCGGUAAUUGAAAUGGAUUGAAAUCAUAAUAGAGUAUGAAAAUCAGAAUAAAUUGUUUACUUUAGUUGUAGAAAUCAAAAUUAAAAUAAACCAUAUUAUCAUUGAUGUAUAUAUGUUUUCUUGUAAUCGAAAUGAAUUCUUAUAAGUUACUAUAAGACCCUUAUGGUGUGUUUACUAAUCAGAAAUCAGAAUGGAGUGGAAUUUGAAUAUAGAAUGGUAGGGGUAUUCGCGGAUCGGAUUUUACGGAUUGGACAUUAAUUCAUAUCCGAUCCAUAAUUUUACGGAUUAUAAAUUCUCAACACAAUCCAAAUCCAAUCUAUAUGUUUGCAGAUCGGAUGCGGAUUUGACUCAAUUCAUAUCCAAUCCACUAUUUGACGGAUUGAUUUUGGAAUUAAAAAUUUUUAAUUUUGUCCAAUCUAUGAGGUAAUUAAAUUUAAAAAUCUAAUAUAAAAAUAAUUUAUUAAAUAAAAAAUUAACGUAAAAAUAAUUUUACUACCAAUUAAAUUCAAAAUUGAACAAGAUUUAAAUAAAUUAAUUAUUUAAAUAAAACUAGAAUAAUUUAUUUAAAAUUUUUAAAUAUAACAUAUCGAAAAAAAAUUCAUUUGUUUAGAUUAAUAUAUGAAAAUUAACUAAAAUUAUGAAUUUAAAUGUUGAAAUUUGAGAGCUUGGAUGUAACAGGAAGAAAUUAAGAAACUUGAAGAACUUGAAAAGAAAGUAACAAAUUAAGCUUAACUACCUCUAAUGGUGAAGUGAAACAGUGAUGGUUUGUGCGUGCAAUGGGGUACAAAUUUGGCAUUAUAUGCCAAAAUAUUUUGUUUGGCUUUAGAAUUUUUAAUGUUUAGGAAGCUAUAUUUGUUUAUUUAAUUACUCAAAUAUUUAAUUAUUUUUUAUUUUAUGUUAUUAUUGAAUAAGAUAUAAUAUUGUGUUAAUUUAGCUAUACUUUAAUUAAUUAAUUAAUUUAUUAGUAAGUAGCAUUGCUACAUUUAUAAGUUUUAUUUUUUAUUAAAUAAAUACUUUUUUUUUUCAGAUUCACGAAUUUUUACGGAUUUACAGAAAUAAAUCCAUAUCUAAUCCAUCGACUGUGGUUUUUUAAAUUUUCAUUCCAAUCCGAUCUACCAAUCCACAAAUUAUAUUUUUACGGAUCGGACGAAUUGAGCGGAUCAAAUUGGGUUCUGAACACCCCUAGAGAAUGAGAAUCAAAAUAAAUUAUUUACUUUAGUUGUGUGAAUCGGAAUUGGAAUAAAUUGUACUGUCAUUGAUGUGUUUACUUUAUCUUGGAAUCAGAAUGAAUAAUUUCAAAUUACUAAACUGACCUUAAUUUUUUAUUGUAAUAAUAAUAGUAGUAGUAGUAGUAAUAGUAGUAAUUUUCUAUUAUUAUUAUUAUUUUCUCUCUCUUUUGUUUUUAUUUUUUUAUUUUUCUCUUCUUCUUCUCUUCCUCUUUUUUUAUUUUUCUCUAAUUCAUCGAUACUUCUUCUUCUUCUUUUUUCUUUCGUUUUUAUUUUUAAUUUUUCCCUUCUUUAUCGUUCCUUCUUCUCCGUCCAUUCUCUAUCUUCAAACUCUUUUUACUUUUUCUCUUAUUCUUCAUUACUUCUUCUCCCUUUUUUUUUUUUUUCUCUUCUUUAUUAAUUCUUCUUCUUCUGCGUCUAUUCUUCAUCUUCAAAUUAUCAAGUGAAAAAUACCCACGGUGCCUUACAAGAAGAAUUGGUUUUGUUUGCUUCAAUUAUUUUUUGUAUUUUGUACUUUUGAUUGUUUCAAAAGAGGAUAAACUUGUAAUAAUGCAAUUUAAGUAGGGAUGUUUUAGACAAUUUUGGGUAUGAGAGUCUAAUUCCCAACCCCCCACUCCCUCGUAGCAGACUCCCAUUCUUCAUUCCUAACUUGGUGUUGGACCUACUAAAAUAAAUCCCAUUCCCCUUCUUAUUUCAAGAAGCAAACACGAUUUUGAUUUCAAUUCCCCAAUCCGAAAGUAAACGCACAAAAAUUGUACCCAUAUGAGAUUGCUUAUCCUCGAGUUUUUAGAUUGAAAAAAAAAAAGGAAAAAAGAAUGGCCCCAUUAGGAAGGGAUUUUAAGUGUUAGAUAAAGCCGGUGUUAACCAUUAGAAGGUCUCCGACCUUCAACUGUAAUAUAUUAAACCCAGAUAAAUUUACAUAUAAAUCACACAAACCAACAUGCCAAUCAAAUAAAUUACAUCAACUAACAACAAUUGACACAUUAAUUUUCAUAAUACAGAGGAUGCAGAAAAUUAAAAUGUUUUAUCUUUUCUCCUUAUUUGUGAAUUGGAAAAUGAAAAUGUUAAACAUACAGAAGAGUGAAACAGGAUGGAUAUAUAUACACACACACACACACACAGCUUUGGAGUUCAAUGUCAUCGUAUUGCUCCAAGAAGAUUGGCGCCAUCAAGCUUUGCACCUUCCAGAUGCUGUUUAAUCAUCACCAUAACACCUUCAGUAGACAUUAAUACAUAAUAGAAACACAAAAUUCACAUGAUCUGAAUGUCUGGUCUAUUUUACUUACCGUAUCUCGAAGAUUUACGUGCCGUAAAUAAGCUCUUUGAAGGUUGGCACCCUUUAAAUUGGCAUUACGUAGCUUUGCACCCUGCCGCAUAAAUGUUCGAAGUUUCAACAAAUUAAAGUCUCCUGAGAAAUACAUGUCACGAAAAAGUAGGGCUGAAACUUGCAUCUAAUGUACAAGAUUCAAUCAGGGGUGCUUGUCCCACAGUGAAAGUGUAUGGGGGAAAGUGCACUUUCACAAACCAAAGGGGCAAGAUGUGAUUAUCACACGAUUACAAAAGGACUGUAGUCAAGAGAGAGAACUGAACAUGCAGCUUGUAUUGAGGCCAUGAAAAUUGAUGAAAAGCAGUAACAAGCAACCAUUUUGAAAACACUUCAUAUGGUCGAAUCAAUAAAUCAAAGCUAAAAUGAUGUUGACGAUCGAUAGCUUUUAGGUGAUAAGAGUCUUGGCACUACAGUUAAAAUUAUUAUCUAGGAGUGCACACAUUAAUAAAAAAAAACACAACCAAUAAGCAUGCACUCUUAAUCAGCAUAUAAAUUAACAAGUUAGUUGCACCUUAUGUUGUUCCACAAACAGAUUGCUCGAACAAUUCACAAUCUUACCUU
rnacentral:lncRNA from 1 species